GAACCGACUAAUAAUUCGGUUCGGUUCGGUUCGGACACGGUUUAUUCGGUUAUUUCAAUUCGGUUAUUCGGUUUAGUAUUUUGGGUCAAAAAGAUUUUGAAAAGUAGGCUUUUUUGUGCAAAUAAAAACACAAUGGCCUGGGCUUUUUGUGCAAAAAACACAUGGCCUGCUAACAAAAAAAACAAAAAAUUUGUCUUUUCUCUCAGAUUAGGUUCACGAAGAAGAAAACAAAUUAGCUUCAUCUCCUCCAGAAAUACUAAAAAAAACAGAAAAUAUUACAGAGUUCGAAACCUCAAAUCAGGGAACCUAUAUCUUCCUGGGAUUCUAGUCGCACAAUUCCAUUAAAUCACUUCAAAGAUUAUAGUUUUUCACUCACUCUCAAUAGCAUGUACAAGCCAUCUAUUUAAUAGAAGGAAAAAUACUCAUCAUUAAUCCAGAGAGAUUAAUGUGAAAAUCGUGGAGUUACUGUUCCCAAAAAAUUACGUCCGGACAACCAAAUCGCCUUAGUACAGUGGUAUAAGAGAGAAAAAUUUCUGCCACGUGGGUUCUAGUAGCAUUGGCCACCGGAAUUCCAUUCUAACAUGAUUUUUCUGAAUCUCACGAUUAGUUUUUGGACCUAUAAAAUUUUUAGGAUUACGUGAGUUAUCAAAAACAAAAAUUAUUAGGUUAUCAGACCCUCGGCCUAUCUAUCAAAACUCAAACCCAAAUCCGACUCGGGUCGGUAUGCAUAUGGUUUAGCAUGGGUGGUAUUUUCUCUUCUACCGUAGUGUAUCCAAGAUUUUCUGUUAUGAGAUCUCCACUAUUAUUACUAAUGAGUUUUUUUCUUCUAAUAUAAGAUUUUGAACAUCUCCCGUAAUUUAUGCUUUUCAUGCAUUUUUUUUUUGGGUUUUUAUUUCUCAUUCAAAUGAAUUUUAAUUUUAAUAUAUGUAUACACUCUAUUAUAGUAUGUCUGACGAGAAAUCCGUCGCUCUUAUAAACCAGUCAUUCCGUCAAUAAAUAUCACCAAAAUAUUUGUUGUAAUAAUAGUUGGAACAACUUUUCUGAAUAACUUCCAAAAAUAUGUCCCUAUAUAGAACUAUUUGAUGGAAUGUGACUGGAACUAAGAUGCAAUAAAUAAAUAGAUAGCAAGAAAGUCCAAAACCUAAAAUAACAUUCUAUAAAAUUAAGGUUUUAUAUAUGCUAAAGGAAAAUAAAAGGUUGUGUAAUGAGAGUUGUCGCCAAGAAGCAAGGGAUGUCUUGUCUGCGUGAACUUCACGUGCAAUGUGGUUCUGUGCAUCCCAUUGCCCUUACGCGUAUUAUAUAAUAGGGCUGGGAAUUUGAACCGUUCGGGUUUUUCGGUUUCGGUUAGUCGAAUUUCCGGUUUUUUCGGAAUAUGAAACCUAUUCCGAAUCGAACCGACUAAUAAUUCGGUUCGGUUCGGUUCGGACACGGUUUAUUCGGUUAUUUCAAUUCGGUUAUUCGGUUUAGUAUUUUGGGUCAAAAAGAUUUUGAAAAGUAGGCUUUUUUGUGCAAAUAAAAACACAAUGGCCUGGGCUUUUUGUGCAAAAAACACAUGGCCUGCUAACAAAAAAAACAAAAAAUUUGUCUUUUCUCUCAGAUUAGGUUCACGAAGAAGAACACAAAUUAGCUUCAUCUCCUCCAGUUUACGCUUCCAGGUUCUCACAUUUGACACGAUCGUACGAGGUCACAAUUUACCGACCGACGAGCGUCCGAUGAAUCCCGAAGACACCGGCGACGAGAUCUGAAAGGCGGAGCUCACGGUAUAGAAGAAGAAGAAGAUGAUGAUGAAGGAUGAUGAAUAAGAGAAGAAGAAGAAGAAGAUGAUGGUUAUGAAUCAAAGAGGAAGAAGGAAUAAGAAGAAGAAGGAGAAAAAGAACAAGAUGAUGGUCAUGAAUUGAAAAGGAAGAAAUAAGAAGGAAGAUGAUGAUGAAUAGAAGAAGAAGAAGGUGAUGGUCAUGAAUCGAAGAAGACUAAUGGAAGAAGAUGAGGAAGAGAAAGAGAAGAACGGCGGCUAGAACUAUAAGAGGCUAGGGUUUUUUUGUUGUUCGGUUAACCGUUCGGUUUGGGUGAACCGAACCGAAAUUUUUGGUUAACCGAACCUAAUUCAAACUCAUUCCGAUCAGUUUACUCAAAUUAAAGAAACCGAACCGAUUUGUCCAAAUUUCGGUUCGGUUCGGUUCGGACAAAUCGGUUCGGUUCAAAUUCUCAGCCCUAUUAUAUAAGAUCGUAAUGAUAACCAAAAAAAGUUGUGAGUGAUAUAAACUCUCCCACGAGGUUUUCUACUAUUUCAGGAAAAUAAAAUCACUAAAAUCACUCAAAAAUUGACUCUUUUUGUUUUGUUUUUGCUAUUUAAGAUAAUAGGUUCCGAACGUUUUUGUUUUUUAGUUUACAAAUUGUAGAUUAUUCAUAAUAUCUCCAUCUAAAAGCAGUUUUAAAUAUAUAUAUAUAUAUAUAUUUAUUAUGUGUUGGAUCUACAAAACAUGCAUGAAUUAUCCUUCCUGAAACGUAAUAUUAAUAUUAAAACAGAAACAAUAUCGUUUAUCCUGUGUUAAAUAAUUUUUAUUGGUGAAAACUCUCUACAAUAUAAUUGUGACAAUUUAAAGUACUAACUAGUAGGUCGAUCACAAAAUUAGAAAACGGUACUUUUGUGUGGUUCUAAUCAUAUCUAUUUUUAGAUGCUUGUGAGACUAUGCAAAUUUAUAAAUCUCUAAUUAAUAAAAAACGAUAUAUAUUUUUUGUCGUCUUAUCGUCUUAUAUUCUUAUUUAUUGAUCUAAUUUUCUCUUUCUUUUCAGUCAGAGUUCUGGAUCCAAUUAAUACACGUUUUCAAAGUAGAAUCACCAAAAUCCGUAUAAAAAAACAAAAGAUGGAUCCCCAUAUGUUUCACAUAAAUAAAUAAAAAUAUAAAUAAAUAACAUGAUUAUAUGUUUGUCACUAACUCACUAUAUAUACAUAUAAUAUUUUUGAUUUGGCGCGAAAGAAAACAAAAAAAGAAGCCAAAAACUAUAUCUUAUAUAAUAUGAGAAGGUUUUCUUCUAACUUUUUCCUACCAUUUCGACAUUUGGCACUCUUUUUUGGUGACAUGUGUCCUCCUUCAAUGUAUCAAUGUUUGUUUUAAUUUAUUUAAAAUCUUUAGUUUUGAAAGUUUGUGCCUACAAUUUAAUUCCAAAAAAUAUAUUUCUCUUAUCCCUAUUGGUACAUUUGACAUGUAUUUAAACUGAAAUUGUAUCUAAUUUAUGAUGACUCUAGUCAAAAUGAAAACGAAAGAGAAAUCAAAAGUUAUUUGUUAAGAGAACGAGAAAAGAAGAAGCAAAACUCGCACCGCCAAAAUAGUAAGAAACAGGAUAUGAAGGAAUUGCUUAAAACCACACUUUUCUUUAAAACAGAAAUAAUAUGUGUGUCGGAUGUUCUAAAAAACUAUCAUGUCAUGUAUGUACGGGAAUACUUUUUCGCCAAUUGCCCCACAUAUCAAAUUUAAUAUUGGUAUCAAAAACUCCCACAAAAAAAAAAACUCAUAAACCAAAAUAUUUAUUAAAAAAAAAAAAAGAAAAAAAAAUUACGUUACUCUUCUAUAUAUUCAUUCUUUGUUGGCGUCAACUUUGAUAUUUUAUAUAUGUGAGUAAGUAUAUUUGUAGUUCAGAUCUUGUGAUUAUGAACAUUAUGUAUUGUAAGGAAGACAAGACUUUAUUUCGGCAUGGAUUUGGAUGAUUAGAUGACGAGAUUUUAAAUCCAAAUACCAUAAUAAUCGGAGUAGAGUGUGAGAUACUGGAAGUGGGAAGUAAGAAAUAUUCCACAUUGGAAGUGAGCAAAUCUUUUAUAUGAUAUACAAGGUACAUGAACCAAUUUUACUCAUUGUUAAUUGUUCUUGUGUUGGAAGCACAUAAUUUCUUAUAUGGUAUUAGAAUCUUAACCCAUGCAUGUUGUUCCAACCCGAACUAAAAUUGAUUUGGUAUGAAAGUGGCCAGCGUGAUCCGUCCCAACCCAAAAUUGGUCUAAUAGAUAUCUAACCUGAAAGUAAUCAUAUGAUAUAAUUAUGUCGAGAUUAAUAGUUAAAAAGAGUUAUUAUUUUGAAAGACAAUUGAAAAAUAUCCAACAUUUGAUGUGGAAAGGGACAAUACUGAGUGAUAUAUAAAGGAAAUGGAUUCAUCUUUACCGUCAAACGAUUUUAAUCCCGAUAUGUUAGUUUGCUUGACAAAUUAAAACUACAAAAAAAAAAAAUCAAGAUCAUAUUGGGACGGUCCGCAAAACCGUAUGACCUAACGUAACCCAAUCGAAUUGAAUAAAUCCUCCAUCGAUGAUGAAUCUUUGAACUGAAAGGAGACAAGAAAACAACACAUGCAUCAAAUAGUUUCAACCAAAAUGGGAAGCUAGGCCAUCACACUUCACAGGUGGUCUUUUAUUUUACUUCUUUUUUUUUCGUAGAUAAUUGAGGCGAAUCCGACUAAUCCCACAUAUAUGCUAGUUCGUGAAGCACUUACAUAUAUGCCCCAAGCCCUUCGUCAAUAUACUAGUUGGAAGCCCACAUUGUCCCUUAGUCCAAAACCAACUAGUCCAUAAGCAACGCUCUAAGUUCAUAGGAGAAAUCGAAAUGGGGUCUCUACCAAUUUAUGUCAUUAGGUAGAACCUAGGUUGUCAUCCUACAAAUUUUAAAUAUUUUUUCUACAACCUAGAGUUCACAAGGGCAAAAGCAAAAGCAUGGAAGCCAUUAGACCAUGAGCCUCUAAGGUUCACAAGUGGCCUUUGUUUUUGGGUUGUUUCGUUGAAGGGUCCUGAAUCAAUGGUGGGGAAUACUUUCUUCUUAUCUCUUUCUCUCACACUCCAAUAUAAUAUGAUGAACCUUCAGUUCCUUUUAAAUACCAUUCCAAACAUCAUACAAUCAUAUAUCAGUUUACAACGAGAGCCCCAUAAUAAUUAAGAAAAAAAAAGAAGCAAACACACAAACCUUAUACAAAUAGACAAACAAUGAGGGAGAAGUCAGAGGAGGCGGUAGUGAAGAACUGGGAGAAGAAGAAGAAGAAGAAGAAGAAGAAGAAGAAGAAGAAGAAGAAGAAGAAGAAGAAGAAGAAGAAGAAGAAGAAGAAGAAGAAGAAGAAGAAGAAGAAGAAGAAGAAGAAGAAGAAGAAGAAGAAGAAGAAGAAGAAGAAGAAGAAGAAGAAGAAGAAGAAGAAGAAGAAGAAGAAGAAGAAGAAGAAGAAGAAGAAGAAGAAGAAGAAGAAGAAGAAGAAGAAGAAGAAGAANNNNNNNNNNNNNNNNNNNNNNNNNNNNNNNNNNNNNNNNNNNNNNNNNNNNNNNNNNNNNNNNNNNNNNNNNNNNNNNNNNNNNNNNNNNNNNNNNNNNNNNNNNNNNNNNNNNNNNNNNNNNNNNNNNNNNNNNNNNNNNNNNNNNNNNNNNNNNNNNNNNNNNNNNNNNNNNNNNNNNNNNNNNNNNNNNNNNNNNNNNNNNNNNNNNNNNNNNNNNNNNNNNNNNNNNNNNNNNNNNNNNNNNNNNNNNNNNNNNNNNNNNNNNNNNNNNNNNNNNNNNNNNNNNNNNNNNNNNNNNNNNNNNNNNNNNNNNNNNNNNNNNNNNNNNNNNNNNNNNNNNNNNNNNNNNNNNNNNNNNNNNNNNNNNNNNNNNNNNNNNNNNNNNNNNNNNNNNNNNNNNNNNNNNNNNNNNNNNNNNNNNNNNNNNNNNNNNNNNNNNNNNNNNNNNNNNNNNNNNNNNNNNNNNNNNNNNNNNNNNNNNNNNNNNNNNNNNNNNNNNNNNNNNNNNNNNNNNNNNNNNNNNNNNNNNNNNNNNNNNNNNNNNNNNNNNNNNNNNNNNNNNNNNNNNNNNNNNNNNNNNNNNNNNNNNNNNNNNNNNNNNNNNNNNNNNNNNNNNNNNNNNNNNNNNNNNNNNNNNNNNNNNGAAGAAGACGAAGCAGACGAAGAAGAAGAUGAAGAAGAAGAAGAAGAAGAAGACAACUUCUUCACCAAAACGCAGUUGGGGAUUUUAUGAAAAAGAAGAAAGGAAGGUUUUACAUUAUUGGAAAAUGUAUUACGAUGCUUCUUUGUUCGCAUGAGUGAUGAUCAUCAACUACAACAUACACAUUUAUAUGUGUAUCUAUAUGCAUGUAUACUAUAUAUAUGCAUGUAUAUACAUAGAUGAAGGUAAAUAAAGUAAGAAAAUGAGAAUAUACAUCUUACCUCUUCCGGUGUUUUUCUAUCCCUCAGUAUUUUUUUUUUUUUUUUACAUCUUUGGAUCGACAAGGCCCGAUCCAUAGCCAAUCCCUACUACGCGGGAUAACGCGACUUACUGGAGUCGAACUCCGGUGAAGAAGGCGGAGUCAAGUGGACUUAACCACUUGACUAAAGGCACAUCCCCAUCCCUCAGUAUUUUCUUUGUCAACUAUAUAUGAAGAAUAAAGGGAAAUUUCGUUAUCUAAUACGUAGCUACAUAUUCUAACUAAGAAAAUGUAUUCAGAACUAAACCAGAACUACAUAGUCAAUAUCACAUCCGUUAAAUUAGUCACGGUUUGAGCCCAACAAACAUGUAGAACAUAUCUUAUUGUGAAUCGAAAGCAACUCUUUUUUUUUUUACUUGACCUCAUUCGCCAAAAUUGAUUUUAUUUUUGGGUCCAUUAUUCACUCGGGUUCGGGUUUAUUUUCUUUUGAGUGUACGGGUCAGUGGGUCUGCAGAAGUUGGUAAUCUAAAUAUAUCUCCAUGGAUUAAUGCUGGAAAAAUAUUUAUAAACUCUUGAGGGUGGUUUCCUCUCACCAACAAGAAAGAGACAUGUGCUUGAUAACGUCGAAAAUACUCUAAAAGAUGGGCGCUGAGAUGAUGAGAUCCUUAGCCUUCGGAACAGUCAGUAUACGGCUAGCCCUAAAGGUUAAUCUUGUAGACUAUAACUCUUGGAAACCAGGCUUUAAGGUCACUACUUCUCCAACACUGAUCAGUUCUGUGGACCAUUAUAUUGUCUCAAAUCACCCAAAGGCAACCAUAUAUUAAUCUUAACGUCUAUGUUAUCAUCAUCUUACCACCUUCUGCUGGCCAAACAAACGUUGAAAUUAUAACUAAACGGACUGCCCAAAGUAGAUGCAACACUCUAAAGGCAGUGAACAAACAAACUAUUCAUCGGAAGUAGCAUGGGUUUCGCUUGGUUCGUGAACAAAUGGUCUAAACAAACAAUAGAAUAGUGUUCAGUUAACAAAACAAUUACGGUGCUACGCAAAAGAUCCGAACGUGUAAUAUACAGACGACAAAAAAAUAAAAUUAAACGAAGAAUAGAUAAGCUUUUUUUUUUCCUUUCUUUGUUUUGGAUAAAAUAAAGAAUAGAAAAGUUUCACAAAUUUUAUAGUGAUAUUAGUGGUACUAGAUAUUUUUAAUUGAACGAUUCUUUCAAAUUUUUAGUUGCCAAUUAAAUGUUUCUAAAAUUUAUGAUUUACAUUGAAAAGCUAAGAAAGAUCGUUUACUAAAGGGCUAUAUUAAAUAAGAUAUUUGGUCUUUCAAAUGUUGCCCUGGCCCGUUAAUUACCCAUAUUAAUUUAUAUGGUCAGUUGACCAAAUAAUUAGAUUUGUAGCCAUGAUGAUUUAAAAAUUAGGUAAGUAUGAAAGAGAAAUAAAAUGCAAAGCAAAAAUAUCUUUCUUUUUUUUAUUAAUUACACAAAUGCCAUUGAUAAAAGAAUAUUAAUAUGCGGAUGUCACUGUUCAUUUUGAUAUCCACAACACUAUUCAUCCGACAUAGAAAAACAGUCUCCAUUGCUAGAGACGAUAACAAAACAAACAAUGAUUAUUGUCGUUAAUAAUUUUAUUAGCAGUAUAAAUUAUAUUAUAUCUGGAAAGUUUACAAAUUAUAUGAUAAACUCAUAUUUAUCGUGUUAAUUAUUUAUUAUAUCAUACAAAAUAUAACAAAAUUACAUAUAAUGUGUUAAAUAUAAAAUUUGCUCGAUAAUGUUAUUGAUAUCAACUACCUUUUUCAUUAUCAUGUUUAUUUACCCUGAUAAUUUAAUUAUUAUCGCUUAAUUAUACAUUAACAUAUUAUGUUAACGUUAGUUUUAUUUUUAUAAUAUUAAGUGGACAUUGGUAACAUGUAAAUUCUUUUGUCCAAACACUGUAGAAAAAGCGGUCAGAAUUAUCACUUAAUUUUUGAUUCUUCUGAGCAUAGAUCGUGAUAAUAUCCUUUACUAAACUAUUGGCUAAAGAAGGUUAUCUAGAAUAGUUUUACUAUUGAAUUACAUAAAAUCAAACCGACAAUUUUUAGUUUUUUGAAACUAACAAUAUUUUAAUACCUUUUUUUUUUUGGCAACUACUAAACUAUUUAAAUCUAAAACUAUUCUUACGAAACAGAAAAAUAAAUUUUAUUCUGCUUCUAAACCUAUCACCAAACUUAUCAUUAUCCUAUACUAUUAUUUGGGGAGUACAAUUUACAAUUACCCUUAAUUAACCUUCCACUUUGUAAGAAUUUACUUAAGAAUGCCAUUAAAAAUAAAAUUUUAUAUAGUAAAUUAAUUCAACUCAUUAAGGAUAAACAAGUCAAAUACUAUAUUAUGAAAUUUAAUUAAUUUAAUUUAAUUAUAAAAAUGAAAAUCUAUUAUUAAUUUCUUUAAAAAGAAUGACCAAUCAAAAUGAAUAUAUAAGAUUUGAUAUCUCAUCUUUAUAUGAUUCUAUUUCUAUAAAUAAAUAAAUGAUUAUAUCAUCUAUAUAAAAGUAAAUUUUUUUCCGCAUAUACCAAGAUUUGAAUUUUUAAAAACGAAUAUAAAUUAUUAAAUGUAUGAAAGAACAAAUUUAACGGGUCAAACUUUCAUAUUUGAGUAAUAUAUUCCUUUUUUAUAAUAUCAUCAAUACUUAAUAGAUCAAAAAUUUAUGAAGUAUAAAAUUGUAAUUUGAUUUUUUGAAACAAAUAUUUUGGCGGCGGGUUGAAUAUAAUAUAUUAUAUGAUGAAAUGAGUUAUGAUCCUUAUAACUAUUUGAAUAUUUAUAUUUAACUUCAUAUCAUUUUUUUUUUAAAUUCAUAAUUUUACAUAGUACAAUAAAAAAUUUUAAAGAUUUUAAUUUGGAACAUUUUAAAAAAGUUUAAUUUAAUAUAUUAAAGAAUAUCAUAAAUAUUUAAUAGAUUAAAAAGAUAAAAAAAACUUAUAAAUACAUUAAUUUGAUUUUCUAAAAAGAUAUGUUUAAAAUAUUUAUAGUAGACGGCGGGUUAAAUGUAAUGUAUUAUAUGGUAGAAAGUAAUGAUCCUUAUAACAGACGGCAUUUUAAGAUUUUAUGAUGAGAUGAGUUAAAUAAGGUUUGACACUUCUAAAUAUUUGAAAAUUUGAUUCUGCAAGCAAUUUUGAAAAUAAUAAAUAAUAGAUUGUUCCGCAAUAUUUUCAUGAGAAAUUGUUAAUAAUGCCCCAUUUCAUAUGCCCUUUUUUAAUAAUGUCCCUUUCAGUUGGUCAUUUUAAAAAAUGCCCCUCAAAAAUAUCUAAACUGACUAAAAUACCCUUGUUUAAUGAGAUACAUGUUGCAGGCCAAAACCCUAAAAUCCCAUCUUCUCUUGUCGCCGUCUGCUCCAUCGAACCCGUAAUCUGUUGAAAAUGGCGGAGGAGCCGGCGACACCGUCGUUGAUUCCUAAUUCGAAUCCCACUAGAUGUAAAAUUCGAACGAUUUUCAAGCGUUUCAAUCCAGAUCUGUUGGGUUCGAUUUUUCAAGCGUUUCAAUCCAGAUCUGUUGGGUUCGAUUUUUCAAGCGAGAUCUAUAUCACUCUCCCUCUGUGUUUGUCUCUGUCAAUUCCAGGUAACCGAUCUCUGUCUUUUAGAAGUUUUUUUCAAGCGAAAUAUGUAUAUCAUCUCUGAUUUAUUCCACUUCUGGAUGUUACAACGUAUUUUAAAGGUUGUACAUGCUUUUAAAAAGGUUUUACAAUGUAUUUAAAAGAGUUUACAAGGUAUUGUAAAAUUUUUACAAGGUAUUUUAAAGGUUUUAAAAGGUUUUACAAUGUAUUUUAAAAGUUCUAAAAGGUUUUAGAAUGUAUUUUAAAGGUUAUUUUAAAUGUUUAAAAAGGUUUUACAAGGUAUUUUAAAGGUUUUUAAAAGGUUUUACAAUGUAUUUUAAAAGUUCUAAAAGGUUUUACAAUGUAUUUUAAAGGUGAUUUUAAAUGUUUAAAAAGGUUUUACAAGGUAUUUUAAAGGUUUUAAAAUGAUUUACAAAGUAUUUUAAAAGAACAAAAAACAACAAUCGUUUUUGAAAUCGAAAUUGAAACCGUGAAAUCAAACUUAAGCCGAAGAAUAAGAGAUUUUGUGUGAUUACAGAAAAUUGAGAAUCCAGAUCUGAGAGAUUUCAUCAUAUUGACAGAAGAAAAAUAUCGAAAUACAGAAACAUGACAAAUCUAGCAACGAAAUCGAGUUUUGGAUAAAUCAAGGGCGUAGAUUCUCUCUCAAUAUUUGGAUCUCCUCCUGUGAGAAGAUGAAAAUAGAUCUCGUCGGCGGCGGCAAUUUGGGUGAUGGGAGCUAGGGUUUUUUAUUUAGGUUAAAUUCUCAUUAAGGGUAAAAUGGUCAGUUUCAGGGAAGCUAUUAGGGAGGGGGAAAAUGCUCAUUUUAUUCCCCAACUAUGUGUAAUUAAUACAAUUAUUCCCCAACUAUCGUGUGCGCAAAUUUAAUCCUCAACUUGUCGUUGACUUAACAAAUUUGGCCCAAAAUUUGGUCAAUGUUUACUAGUUAACUCGAAAAACGUUAAUUAACUCGAUUAAAACCUAAUAAUCUCAUAAAAUCUCCAAAUUGAAAGCUAAUAACUAAGGUUCUUAGUAAUCCCUUCGAAUUGGAAGCUUAUUCCUUUAUCUAUUCAUGAUAUUCUCAUCAAAAUAUGUGAAUUCGAUUUCAAUCUCUAUGUGACUCUCAAUCGAUCUUGAGAAAAAAUCACUUAGGGUUCUUAGCUUUCAAUUUGGGGAAAUAUUUGAGGAUUUUUUGAAUAUAUUAUGUUUUAAUCGAGUUAAUUAACGUUUUCGAGUUAACUAGUAAACGUUGACCAAAUUUUGGGUCAAAAUUGUUAAGUCAACAACAAGUUGAAGAUUAAAUUUGCGCACACGAUAGUUGGGAAAUAAUUGUGUUAAUUGCAAAUAGUUGGGGAAUAAAAUGAGCAUUUUCUCAUUAGGGAGGGGGUAUUUUUGAAAAAGGUCAUGAGAAAAGGGGCAUUUUUGUGAGUCUCCCUAUUUUCAUAGGAAUUGUAAAAUGAAAAUAUAGACUCCACACACGGAUUGAAUUUGGUAUUAUUAUAUACCAAAUAUAUGUUCAUAACAUAUUUGAUUAUGUGAAUAAUUGGUAAAUUCCGUAAUUAGCUCAAACAAAUCUCUAUUUCAACAACCAAUGAAUCAGAAUUUGAAAAAAUAAUUUCCUAAAUUAAUUCAAAAUAAUAGCUAAUUUUCUUAAGUAAUUCAAAAUAAUCUACGUUUUAGAUGCGAUUCAUUUAUGAUAUUUUGAUUUUUGAUUAAACUAAAUUAUAUGCACUCUCAUUUUGUGGUUGUUAACAUAAAUUAACUCAUUGUUCAAACAAUAUUAAUUUUUUUAAAAAUAAUCUUAUUUUCCGUUUUCAUGUCUUAAAAAAAAUAUCCAUAAUUGAAUACUAUAGAAAAGGGAAAAUAUAUUCAUUCUAAUAUUAUAUAUAGGGAUUGACAAAAAAAUAUUAUUUUUUCACUUACUAUUAUAAUAUGUCACAAUUUUAUUCUAAAACAUAAAAUUUAUAAAUUUUGUAAUAAUUGAAAUUCAACUCGUACUAUAGUACGAGUGAUGAUCUAGUCCUAUCUAUAUAACAAUAAUAUCUUGCCUUGAAGAACAAGUUAUCUCUGAAACCAGUUUCAAGAUUCUUUCCAUGCUCGUGAACCGCGUCGCUUUCGCGAUAUUCACCAUUCAGGGAACAACGUGGCAUGGCCUGCGUGAGUUUUCGUGUUCAAGAGCUUGUCCAUGACUUUGUGAUUCCUCUCAUGGAGAAUCUUCUUCCAGCGAUCUUGAAACGGUUGAAUUCGAGUCAGUGGGGUUUAGCGUUUGUGGGUGGUUUCUGUGCGGCGGUUCACUUGUUGGAGAUGACACGUGUUGCUUUGGUGGAGAAUCUUGCCAAUGAGAUGUUAAAAUCGGUGAACAGAGGAAUGGAAUUAGGGUUUCUUUUGAAAGCUCUUACGGAUCUUGAAAUCGCUGUAGUGGAACAGUUAUGGUGGUAUUGUACUACUGAGUUUAGAUUUGUUUUGGGUUUGAUUCGGAGAAUUGUUGACAUUCUCACAUUCUCUCUAUUUCUCACACUCAUUUACGGUUUCAUUGUCUUUAGAGAGAAAGAACAAAAACCAUUACUCUUUAAUUGUCUACAUUGUAUUAAUGGAUCACAAGGAUUGUUUUCUUACAUCACACAUACAAGCAUACUUAUACUAUUUUACUUCUACUUCUACUUACUACAUACACAUACACACACUUGCACUUGGACCUUACUCCUAGUUCUAGACUCUCUUACACAAGCAAGGUUAAACUACUAAACCUUACACAACAACAACUCUUAACCACUACACUUGACAACUCUACUAAGCUAGUCUUUAACUAACACAACACACUUACUCAUUUGGGCCUAACAAAACAUUUAGCCCAAUCACUUAUUCUUAUUACAAGACAACAAGCCCAACUUCAUUCUUGUGUUGACUUGUGUCUUCCUCCUCUUUGUCGUUGACUCUCUUCACGACAUCUUCUUCUUCUUCUUCUUACUUCGCCAUCAUCUUCUCUUGGCUUCUUCUUUUCUCUUUUGCAGGUUCAAUCAAGGAUACAAUUCCAACAAGAAUUGAUGCGAUUAUCACUGACGAGACAGCGAAGAAUGUGUUGGAGAGGAUUAAUAAGGUUGUGAAGAAGAAGAUGCUUGCAUAUGUUGAAGAGAUUGAUAUUGGUGACGAAGAUUGGCUUCUUGCCCAAGUAAACAUAUUUUCUAUCUAAUCCGAUUUACUUCCCGCCGCCUAAUCUUACAUAUCUCGAUUAUUUUUAUAUUGCAAGUAUAAAACAACUUUUUUUUGUUAGUUAAACAUUUGAAUUGGGAAGUUUUAAUUAUUAUCACUUCAGGGGAACAAUAUCAUUUAUCACAAAAAACUCGAAAUCCUCUCAGGCGUCAUUCCCGAAGCUUCUACGAUUGUGCCGUUCUCCGACGCCGGUAGAGCUAUGGCUCGCCGGCGUCGGACUUUCUCUUCAAGCUUUAGUUCAGCCUCUUUACUCUCUGCUUUUUCAGCUUAUUUUCAAGAUCGUGUCUCCCGUUUUGAUCCAAAGAUCUCCCAGAUCCGGAGGUUUGGGCUUGCCGGAUUUGUUUUCGUCAUCUCUUUACCUCCCUCUGAGCCUGAUGUCUUCCCGGUUAUUCCCCGAAUUGCCUUUAGUGAGCUCUGCAUCCUCCCAGUUCUCAGCUGUUUAACCCGCAACCACCGGCCGUUUUGUGGCCCAUCCUCCACCUUCGUCAAAGCUUCUCCUCCGCCCACCCCUGUGACAAAAGCUGAACUCAUAUCCAUUAAAGUCACUAUGUUGGGUCGGCCUCGCGAAAUCAACCUCCAGAAUCUUAAAAGGGACAUGGCUAGAUCUCCCUAUGAGCCUUCAAACACUACCCCCGAGCAUGCGAUUACUUCAUUGCCGAUCUGGAGAACCUCUCCGCCGCCUUGUCCGAUGAGAAGAAGGGUGGAAAACGGUGAAACCCUAAUUGCAUCGAUGGUCUCUUCACUUGUGUUGGGCCCAUCAAAUGUUGGCCCGUUUGUUUUCCAGCUUAGGCCCAUUAUGAUAGCUUUCGGCCCAUCCCUUCUCCCAACUUGGCCCAGGUCCAUUACUUCAAUACUUUUGUUAAGCCAAAAUAUCAAAAGGUGUGUUCCAAACAAUUUUCUUCAAAAGCCCAGGUUUGGCCCGAACUCUUUUUUGUCUUUGCUUAGACAAUAUUUGCGUCGAUUCAUGAAAUCAAUUGAUCGAAGACAUCAAUUGAAUCUUAAUCCACCAUUGUUGCUAUGUUGGUACAAGAACUAUUUGAGAACCCUGCCAUUAGAAUCACCUAGGAUUAUUAUCCACAUAGUUAAAAGCUUGAAGAAGAACGGCAUUAUGAUCCCGUCUCUAAGGAGCGGUGGUUACCGAAACUUCUUCAACUUUUCAUCUCUGUCUCAUUUGCUGACCGAUUCCAUACAAGAGCUAAUUCGUAACAUCAUGGUUAUUACUCUUGAAAGUAUAAGUUUGAAGAAGAUUGGCAUUAUGAUCUCGUCUCCAAGGAGCGGUGAUUACCAAAGCUUCUUCAUACCUUUAUAUCCGUUUCUCCUGAAUUUUGAGCUCAUGCCCAUGCCCAUACCCAUACCCGAAGAAACCUUUAUCUUCCAGGAUAUUCUACCAUUGGUCCCAAUGUCCUCAUUGCGUUUCAUGCCGGCGAACCAUGAGGCAAAGGAUACUUUCUCAACGUCACAAGAACAAGAUCUCUCGAUCGUGACUAUUUCAAAAUUCCCCGACUUGUUCGCGGAAGUGUCUAUGACACACCAUGAGAUCGCAUGUGGCUUGUUGCUUGAUUGCUUCUGUCUCCAAUUCUCUAUGGCUUAUCAAACCUAUCUAUCUAUCUAUGUUGUUAGCUUCUGUUCUUUGCAGAUUAUUGUACUUUUAUCCAUGCUUGAAGAUCUUGUAAACUUUGCCCCUAUGGGAUUGAUUGAAUGAAAUACAAGUCUUGUUUGUCAAAAAAAAAAAAAAAUGUUCAAAUUUUAAUAAAAUCAUAUUUUUUUAAUAAAAAAAUUUCUUAAAAAUUUAUUUUUAUGUGUUUAUUGUAAUUUUGAAAAUAAUUUUGGAUUAAUAUGUUUUAAAAAUAAGUAAAUAACUCUAAAACUAGUCCCCGAUUAAUUUCCGAUUUUAAUCCGAUUUUCCGAUUUAUCGCUAGGCCUAUAUUGAGCGCUCGAGUAGCGCCUAACAAUUUUUCAAACAAGAAAUAUAUCUAGAUUAUGGCGGUGAUUGGGAGAGGCUUUAAGGGCUGUGUUUUUUUUAAAAAAAAGUCAUUAAAGCCAUCAAUCACAAUUUUAAGACUUUAGAUUUUUUUAAGGCUUUAAAAGUCUAACUGCCCAAUUUGUUUUUCUUUACGUUCAAUUUUCUAAAGCCAUAAAUAUGAGGCUUUCAAACAAAUAAUAUAGCUUUUAAAUAAAUAAUAAUUAAAAACUUUCUUUUUUCUUGUCCCCAUAAUAAUUAGAAUCUCUCUAAAUGAUUACAUAUAUUUUUUCACAAAUAUUUUUUGAUAAAUUAAUUAUUAGUAUCAUUUUUCAAUCUUUCUUUUAAGAUCCAUUUCAAUAAUAAUUAUUUUAUUUUCACAAUCACCAUUAAUAUUGGUAUAAAAGAGUUUAUAGAAUAGUAUUUUUAAUAAAACAUACACUUUCAUAUAGGCCAUUCAAUUAUUUCAUAAAUUGCUUCAUCAUUAACAGUUUUAUUGAUUUUUUAUUACUCAAAAUUAUACAACUACAUAACAAAAAAGAAACAUUCAAAACACUAUUAUUAGCCAUAACAAUUGCUCAAGAAUCAUUCAAGAUAAGUAUUUUAACUAUUUCUACCUUUUAAUUUAUUUUUCAAAUGUUUAUUUGGUUUGUUAGCGAAAUUUAUGUUGACUAGUUUACCAAAAUAGUUAUCGUAAAACAUAUUUUAAAUAUUUAAAGAUCAAAUUUGUUUAUAAUUAAUCAAAAUAAUUUCAAAACAAAUAGUUACAUACUAUUUUAGAAAGAAAACAUUAUUCAUAAAAUUAACGAUCGAUUUGGAGCUAAUUUGGAGUGGAAACAUCUAAAAAACCGUUUAGAUUAUUUGAAGAUGCUGUAAAAUAUAUAUUAUAAGGAUCCUCAAGCUCCACACCUUCACCCAAGUUUUUAUAAACUUAUCCCACUUCUUACUAGUGUGUUUGGAUAUUAAAUUUCGUCAUGAAAUAAUAAAUAUAAAUAAAUGUGUUCAUUUAGAAUAUUUAUUUAUUAUUUUAUUUCUAAACCUUUGUCAUUUAUUUUAAAUAAAUAUUUUAUUAUUAAUAAUUUGAUUUUUAGUUUAUCCAUUUUUUUAAUGCAAUUUUUGGUUAUUAAAAUUGAAUGAAUAAUACAUAUUUCGUUUCUUUAUUGAGAAUAUUUUUCUAUUCAUUUAUUUCUGAAUUUUUGUAUUUUUCUAAAUUUUUAUAAUUAAUAAUAUUAUAUUGUCAGAUGAAUUUAUUCAUAACAUUAUUUAUAUUUAUUUUGAAUAUAUAUAAUUAAAAAAAAUAACAGUCACAACUUCUACCGCCUUGUUCUACCAAUCAGAUUUUAAUAGCCAAAGUUUUUGCAGCCAAAGUCUUUACAGCUAAAACUAACAGCCCUUACCAAUAAGUCCCUACAUGUAUUGUAACAGACGACAAAAAAAAAUUAAAUAAAGAAAGAUAAGGGUUUUUUUUUUCUUUUUUUUUGGUGGUAGUAGAUAUUUUUAAUUGAACGAUUUAAAAAAAAAUCAGUUGCCAAUUAAAAGUUUCUAGAAUUUAUGAUUUACAUUGAAGAACUUUGAAAGAUUGUUUACUAAUAUUAUCAAAAUAAAAAAAAAAAAGAAUCGUUUACUAAUAAACAAUUGAAUAAAGAAGGUUAUCUAUAGUAUGGACUACACAAAAUCAAACUGACAAACUCAUCAUCAUUAUCCCAUCUAUAUAACAUUUCAAAAAGAUAUUAACAAACCUAAUUUUACAAUGCGUAAAUCUAUAGUUAUAUUUUUUUUUUCUUCAACCUUUUUAGUCUCUAUAUAUCUAUCUCCCCGGGACUUUCUGUUACCUUCCCAUGGAUAAGCGAAAGAUGCCGACGAAGCAACCAACCUCCGAAGAGUUCAACAAAGCCGCCUUCAAGCUUCUUGCGAAUCCCCACAUCGAACCGACGGUGGAGUUCAUCGCCGCCCUCAUAAAUCCACGGAAAUAUCAAGAAGAUAGAAAGUUCUUCCGUUUUUGCGUCGCCAAUUACCCGGGAUGCUUCUCCGUCAAGCUCAUGUGUGUCUUCGCCUCGAAAGAGCCACGUGUCUCUUACGAGAUCAGAGAGAGUGCAAUGAGGUUUCUCCACGGUAUCUUCAUCAAAGAAGAAGCUUCUAUGGAUUUUGAAGUGGUUCAGGUAUUCUCGACUUUACUCAUAUCUUGCCUUGAAGAACAAGUUAUCUCGGAAACCAGUUUCAAGACUCUUUGCUUGCUCGUGAAGCGUGUUGCUUUCGAGAUAUUCACCAUUCAAGAAAGAACUUGGCAUGGCUUGCUUAAGUUUAUCUCGUCUAGAGCGGAACAAGAGUUUGCGAAAGCGGUUUCCGUGUUCAAGAGCUUGUCGAUGCCCUUGGAUGAAGAGGAGUUUCUGAUUCCUCUAAUGGAGAAUCUUCUUCCAGCGAUCUUGAAACGUUUAGGUGACAAAGAGGAAGAGAGUUCGAGCCAGUGGGGUUUGGCGUUUGUGGGUGGUUUCUGUGCGGCGGUUCACUUGUUGGAGACGAGACGUGUUGCUUUAGUGGAGAAUCUUGCUAAUGAGAUGUUGAAAUCGGUGAACAGAGGAAUGGAAUUAGGGUUUCUUUUGAAAGCUCUUACGGAUCUUGAAAUCGCUAUAGUGGAGCAGUUAUGGUGGUAUUGUACUACAGAGUUUAAAUUCGUCUUGGGUUUGAUUCAGAGGAUUGAUGCGAUUAUCACUGAGAAGACAGCGAAGAAUGUGUUGCAGAGGAUUAAGAUGGUUGUGAAGAAGAAGAUGCUUGAAUAUGUUGGAGAGAUUGAUAAUGGUGAUGAAGAUUGGCUUAAUCAGCGCCUUUGAGUUUGGUUGCUUCCUGCCCAAGUAAACAAAUUCUUAGGGGAAUGUUUUGGUUUUGGUUUUGGUUUUGGUUUUGGUUUUGGUUUUGGUUUGUGUAGUGUUUAGGUGUUUAUAUUUUGGUUUUACGUACGAGUGGAUUGAAUGAAAUAGAGUUUUAGGACUAAUAUUUUUUUGCAUCUUUGGUCAUGAUCUACUAAUCUUGUGCAAAUUUUGAGAGUUUGAUUUCUUACGUUGAGACUUGAUGAAACAAUAAAAGGACUAACAAGAGUCAUAGAGAUAUACACAGGAAAACUAAUGCAAAAAGGAAAAGACUCGAAACUAGAAAAAGCAAAAAAAAACAAAAAAAAACAUCAAACCAAAUUCUCGAAAGCUAAUGCAAAAAGAACUUUCCAAAUUCUGAUGCAGCAACAUUACCAGUUUUGUUAUAGUUGUCGUAUAUUGUAGUGGAAAGUUUAUAACUAAAAGCACGAGUUCCAGCUCUGCAUAUUUACCCACCAAGAGCGAGACUUCUUUUUCUAAUUCACACAUUUGAUCCGAAUAUAAACCAUGUGGAUACAAACAUUUCCGUUGUGAAAUUACCUCUAUGCAUAAGAUGGUUUUGCUCAUUCUCAUUUAGGGUUCUAAAAUUCCGGGCAACACUAUGAUAGAUUGACAUUGAUUUCUCAAAUUUAUCUCCAAUAUAAAUACAUAUAUUUUUUGUUUUAUUUUUGCUUUUUUAGGAAAUGAAAUAUAUUUAGACAAUAAAUCGAGACACAUGUAAAUGAUUAAUGAGAUUAACAAUAUGUAUCAUGGUUUAAUUUAAUUUAUAGUUUAAUUCAAUUUUCUUAAUCAGUUACGAAUUAAUACGUGAGGCUGUUAUAUGUUUUUUUUUUUUUUUGGCAGUUUUACUUAAUUUUAACUUUUUUGAUUAAGAAGAUUUUUGAUAUAUAUUAUAUUAAUUAAUAUACGCAUAAGAAAUUUUAGUGAUCAUCAACUUGAAAAUCAUUUUCUUGCCUUAGGAAAUAAUGCAGUGUUUGGUGGAAUAUAUAUAUAUAUAUAUAUAUAUAUAUAUAUAUCACUGGAUACGAAACACUGAAGAAUAGUAAGAUUAAUCAAUUUAAGUUCAAUAAUCACUGAUGGGAAAAGUUUAGGUAUACAAAAUGUUUUGUGCAAAUCCAAUACAAUUGGGCACAUGAACUUUUACUAUUAGUUUCGUCAAAAAAAAAGUAUAUCAUUUUUACGCCAAAAACUAUUAAGACGAAAAUAAGUGAUGAAUAGGAGCAUCCUAAUAUAAGGUUACAAUGUAUGAAAAUUUGUUACUAAAAUAAAUAAAUUUGUGUUUGAUAUUAAGAUGCUUUUGGUGUUUCAAAAAUAAGAGCAUGAAGUUGAACUGUUUGAGUCCAAAUCCUUUAUAGCAGUACUAAGUAUAUUGAAUAGUGUUUGGUGAUGAUCUACUCGAUCUUUAUCCGUCUCCUCUAGGCCAGAGGCAACAUUUCAAUCACUUUAGCGAAAACACGUUGCAAACAUUGUGCUUCAGUUGGAAAGGAAUCUGAUCAAAGCUUCUAUGGCAAAGGGUCGGAACUGUUCCAUGUAAAUAUGAGUACAUAAGAUAUUGGAGAUGAAGCAUUUCAUAAUUUGUAUGCUAGGGACCAGAGACUCUAGAGAUAAUUUGACCAAAAUCAUCAAGGCUGACUCCAAAUACCUCUUUUCCAUUGAAUAAGACAAUCGGUAAAAUAAGGGCCAAAAAUCCGGCCAUUCUGGCAGGUAAACCGAAGGAACAAGAGACACCACCAAGCAAAGUUUCUCGUGGAUGUCUUCUUCCUCGUUUAAUCGGUUUAGCAAUUAUGUUGUGACAUAUGAUUUCGUGCUUGGGGACAGACGCAACAAGAAAUUGUCGGUAAACAACUUCCGGAGGAGCACGACAGCCAUGUCGCGCAUCUUCUCAUCAGGUGAUUCUAUUCAUCGGAGGUCCUUCGCCGAGAGUGCCUUCAAUCUUGCGAAACAAAGGCACUCUUGCAGUAAAACCUUUAUAAAUUAAUAUUAUCGGAAUUGAAAAAUUCUAUUAAUUUAUAGAGGUAUUAAUUUAUCGAGAAAUUAAUAACUAUUAAUUUAUAGAGAGAUUUUACUAAUUUUGUAAUUUCUUAAAAAUUCAAUCUGAAAAAUAAUUUUUCUUUAUAAUCAAUAUCUUACUAAAACCAAUUACAAGUAGAAAAAAAAUUAUUCAGUUUAGAAAACAACACAAACUUUUUUCGAUGUAGUAAAAAUAUUAGAAAUGAACUCUACCAAGAAUUAAUACAAAUUAAAGGAAAAUAGACGAUACUAGAGUCAUAUUUUACUGAAUGUUUAUAUAUUACCAUAUAAGAGAUUGAGAGAAAAGAUCACCUAAAGGAGUUUGAGAAUGAGAUUAACGUCUUGGGAAUAAUCCGGCAUUCGAAUCUCCUUGCACUUAAAGCUUAUUACUUAGGCCCUAAAGGAGAGAAGCUUGUCGUCUUCGAUUACAUGUCUAGAGGAAGUCUUGCCACAUUCCUUCAUGGUAAGUUUGAUACUAAAGCCUCAAAGUUUGAUACUUUUGCUAAAACAAGUAAUAUUUUGUAACUCUGUUUUCAUAUUUGAAAUUGCAGCAAGAGGACCAGAUGUUCAUAUCAAUUGGCCUACAAGGAUGAGCUUAAUAAAGGGAAUGGCUCGUGGCUUGUUCUACCUUCACACACACGCAAAUAUCAUCCACGGAAACUUAACAUCAAGCAAUGUACUUUUGGAUGAGAACAUCAACGCGAAGAUCUCAGAUUACCGUCUUUCAAGGCUAAUGACAGCAGCAGCAGGAUCAAGCGUGAUUGCAACAGCUGGUGCGUUAGGUUACACAGCACCUGAGCUCUCUAAGCUGAAGAAAGCCAAUACGAAAACCGAUGUGUACAGCCUCGGUGUGAUCAUAUUGGAGCUUUUGACUGGUAAAUCUCCGAGUGAGGCCUUAAACGGUGUGGAUUUGCCUCAAUGGGUUGCUACUGCAGUUAAAGAAGAGUGGACUAAUGAGGUUUUCGAUUUGGAGCUGUUGAAUGAUGUGAACACAAUGGUUGAUGAGAUUUUGAAUACACUGAAACUGGCGUUGCAUUGUGUUGAUCCUACACCAUCAACAAGACCUGAAGCUCAACAAGUGAUGACACAACUUGGAGAGAUUAGACCUAAAGAGACAGCAACAACGUCUGAACCAUUGAUUGAUGUUCCUGAAGCUUCUGCUUCCACAAGUCAAUAGAAAGAGUGGAGAGUUUUGGUAGUGUGGAAAUGUUGCAGAGUAGUAGUAGAUUUUUUGCAAUUCUUUAAUUCUUCCAAGUAGUUUUUUUUGUUCUUUGUUUGUUUCAGUGUUUUGAAUCAUUUCAUCAUCAGUUUAUGUUUGUAUAUAGUGUAAACUGGUUAUGUUUCCUUCAUCAAGUAGUCUCUGUCUUUUGAGCAUUAUUGAAAAAACUUGGGUUUUGAAGAAGGUACUACAGGAAAUGAUCAACAGUAAAAUUUUAGGUAAGUUUCAAAUCACCAUAUACUGAAAAAGAGAGAACAUUGAGAAGAUUGGAAGAUCUAACCAAUUUAAAUAUGUACCUUUACUUACGUAAGUAUGAAAAUGCUCACACAUUUGGUUUGGUAUUAUAUAUUGAUAUAUGUAAUGAAAUACGAAACAGAAAUAAAUUUCUAAUAAGUUUGAAAUAAAGACCAACAUAAUAAGCCGCAAAUGUUAACUUAUUAAUAUAGUAAGGAACUCUACUAUUAUUAUAGGAAAAUUUGUUUUAAAGCGAGAAAUGCUAAGAGAUUGUUGUAUCAAGCAAAAGAGACUUGUAGUAAAUGUCCAUGGCACGCAACUCCCGCAAGCCCCUCCAGAACAGCUGGUAAGCACAUUCUUACACCUUAGUACAUGUCUACAGUUGAAGAACUCUGGACCAAACUCAAUCAAUGUCCUCAUUUCGAGAUAACAUAACGAAUAGUAAAAAAAAAAUUGUUUUCGUCAUUAACUUACCUCCACACAUAUAUAAAAUAUCAUAAGAGUCGAUAUUUGUUCAUUUUUCAGAUCUCAACUUCAUGCUGGUGUUAAUUAUAUCGGAUGCUAAAUAGUCUAAAUUAGUAUACAAGUACACUAAAAUACAUUUCAAAACUACUAAGACCCAAAAAAAAAAAUCAUGGAUUAACUUCUAAUUAUAUUUUACUAAUUUUAGUAAAAAAAAAAAAAAAGAUACGAGAAAUUUGAAAUAAGUUUUAGAAUAAAGACUAAAACAAUAAGUUUCAAAGCAUGCGGAAUAGUACAAAAAGACUACAGAAGUCCAUCAGCUUGAGAGAGUUUUUAUACUCUUUUUUUGUUUGAUCAAAAAAAAAGUUUUUAUACUCUUAUCUCUUAAAAGAUUGCAUAAAAAAGUCUUCUGUUUACUUUCCAACACAGUCAGUGGCUGCUGCUGCAACUGUAUCAACCAAUUUGAUCCUCUUCGCUGGUGGUUCAACUUCAGACACAGUCUGAGUUCCUUCUUCUUCUUCAGACUCACCGUUGUUUCCUCCAGAAGACUCUGCAGUGUCUUUGCUUGAUUCAGCCUCUUCCUCUUUCUUCUUCAGAUUUUCGAUAACUUCCAUCAUUUCUCUAUUCACCUAUUUUAUUAAGCAUUGAUUCAUGUUAGCCAAAGUUAUUACAACAAAAUUGGUAAAAACUAGAAGAGUGGUUUUUGUUUUUUACCUGCGGGUUUUGAAGAAAGUCGGAGAGGUCGGUAGUGCAGCACGGACAGGUCAUUAUGUUCUUCUUUGCACGUAGUGUGCGCCCGCCUCUGCUUCUCUCUCUCACUUGAGAGACCCCAGCAAAUUUAGCUUCCAGGCAUGCUUUGCAGAAGUUGUGAGCACAAGGCGUCGUCACUGGAAAACUCAGCACUUUCCGACAGAUUUGGCAACCGAAUUCUGUGUCAAAUAUAACCCAAAUCACAGUUAUGUAUUGUGCUAGAUACAAUAAUAACACAAGUGGUAAUCGAUGUUUACCUUUGAGAAGUCUGUUAUUUCCGUUUUUUGCUUUCCUAAUGAUCUUCCUCUCCUCAGGAUCCAAAGCAGCAACAGCCUUUCUGCUAACAGGUGGAGACUUCAUCCAUUUCCAACGACCCUCAGCUUCCUAAUCAAGGAAAAUGUAUCCGCAGGCACAGGGAAAAAGGUCACAAAUCAUGAACCAGCCGAAGAAUGCUCAAACAAAAGAAAGGCUGUACUAACAUCGAAAUCCCAUGACGGACUCUCCUUUCUCACAAACAGGUCAGUAGCUUUCUUAAGCUCUGGAAUAUUAGGCAAAGGUCUUGGACGAUCGCCAUGCUCAUCACUGCAGUAUAUAAUUCAAAGUCUCAUGAGCCAUCAAAUAGCAAAUACAGAAAUAAGGCACCUUUCCGGAAAAAAAAAGAAGAAGAUCAAACCUGGUCCAUGGAGCUGGCUCAUUGUCACAUCUAACAAAUAGGUAACGACAGACCUUAUAAGAACCCUACAGAAAACAGAAGAGUGUACUUCAGGAAGAAAACAAUCCAGCUCUGCAUAGAAAGAACAAUAUAGGAAUGUUAGCUAUAUAUUCAACCUGUAUUCCAACGUUGCUCCAGCACUUCUCGAUUCGGUAGACCCCAUCGUAUCUCACUCCUUCCUUAGGGGCAUAUGCAGAACGCUUCUCCUUGUGAGACCUGAAGAGUCAUGAUAACUUUCUGCUCAGAGUAUAUCGAUGAAUAAAGAUAAUCUAUUCUUAUUCAAUAAAGAAAGCAUCCCAUUCACAUAAAGUUGAGAGUCUGCAGAAAAGCUAACCUGACAACUCGGACAGGAUAGCCCAUUUUGCAACUAAGUCUUAGAGCUUCAUUCAUUUUUGCAAACGACUGGUCAGAAGACUGUAUCUUGUUAGUUCUUUUGUUUCCUCCGAGAUCCCUUCCACCACUGCAACACACAUUCACACAUUACUUCUAUAAGAGACACAAGCCACAAAUAUAGAGGCAUCAAAGUGUUAUAGGAGUAAUGUAAAAAUCGAACCUUCCUGUGUAGAGAAACCAUUCACCAUGAUCCUCAUCAUCAUCAUAACCUCCAGAGAGCGCCACAGACUGAGCUCCAACCGCUGAUUGCCCGGCAAUGCCAGCAAUAUGCGGGAAAUGAGCUCCCCACUGCCUACAAUCUUGCCUGUCCUCCCAAGAUUCUCCAACCAAAACACCUUGGUUUCUAGUGGGAUCAUUUUCAGCUGGUAUGGGACCAAAAUGAUCACCAGGUAUUGUAACAUAAAUCCUUCCGCUAGCAGCAUUAGCUUUCCCAGUCUUUUUAGCCCGCUCGGUAGUAAAGGCUUUCUCAGGACGGUCUUGGUUGCGGAUAAUAUGAUGAACCUUGGCCGCAGCUGCCUCAACAGAACAUUUGGUAACACUUGCUAAACGAAUAGCAGAGACUAGAGCUAAGUUGAUGCGAGGAUUUCGCGCAACAUUUUUGGGAAUUUUGGUUCGGCAUGUCAUACAAGUUAGCUUCCCUUGACCUACCCAUUUCUCGAAACAUCUCAAGCAGAAGUUGUGCCCACACGGUGUCUACAAACAAAAAUACAAUACAUCCAUUAGUGUGCUACUUAAAUACACUAAAUAGCAUUGUCCAGAACACAAAUAAACUAACAAUUCUUCUACUGUUCAACAAGGCAUUAACACAAUCACAAGCAUCAGACUGGUUGCAAAUACGCAUUAGUGUGGUACUUCAAAUAUUAAUCAUCCUUAUCAACAACAAACACAUAAAUUAGCGAUUCUACUAGUGUUAUGUGUACUAAUCACAAGUCAUUAACACAAACCACAAGCAUAAAUUAGCAAUUCUACUACUGUUAUUAACACUAAUCACAAGAUUUAACAAGUCAUUAACACAAAUCACAAGCACAUAAUCUAUUGAUUUGAAGAAUCAAUGGAAACGAACGAACCGUGAUAGGUCUUUCUGGCAAUUGAAUGCAAAUAGAACAAAAGAUUUCUAACUUCUUCUUGUCUUCUUCAACGAGACGAUCGUCACCACCACCACUCAUGAGCUUCUGCCUCCUUUUGGCUUUCUCAGCUUCCGUCAAAGUCAGAUCAGCCUGAAUCGCACGGAUCGCUGCUACGAGAACUGAACCGGAUGAUUCAAAUCCGACGUUUCCGGUAACUGGAACGGCGGAGGAAACGACAUCGCCGGAGCAAUCGGGACACUGCCACUCUCCAGUGGAAGAAGAGAGUGAUUCAGGAAGGAGACAGGACACGUGCCAGGGAGUGACGCACGUGCCACACGUGAGAGUCUCUUCUGACGGAGGUUUUACCUGGCACCGCAUACAUACGCCGUCUCCGUCGCAAGGAAACUGAACUUCAGGCGCCAUUGUUGAAACGAGUGAGAGAGAGAUUAGAGAGAAAAUGGUGUUUUCGAGAUUUGUGAGAGAAGAGGAAGGCGAAAAGUGAAGAGGCGGGUUUUGAAAGUUUUGGGAAAACGAAGUCUUUAAAGAAUUUCAAAAUGAAUUACAAAAAAUCUAAAAAAGAAAAAAAUCUCACAAAGCGAUAAGAAUUGGGGAUUGUGACAGAAUGGCAACUAUUAUAUUUAAUUUUCCUUAAAAGUUGCUUUUUGGGUCAACAUUUUUUAUUUACCAUCUUUGUCAUAUUUAUUAAUUUAUAUGUAAAUGAUAAAGACGUGAUUUAAGAAAAAACAAAAACAAAGAUAAAUUAUUAGACUUGAGGUGGUGAUUUUGUGAAAAAUAAUUGUAUAUAAAUUUUCUAUUAUAUUUGCAAUUGUUUUGUUGAAAUUUAUUAAUGUAUUAUACGUUUUAAAAAUGAAAUAUAUUUUGCCACUUAAACUUCAAUAAUUUAUAUGAAAUAGUUAAUAGAACGUCUUCAAAUUAUAUUUAAAAAUUAAUUGAUUUUAUGGUGAUAUUAAAAAUAGAAAAUUAUUAUAUCAUACUAUGUGUUAGUCAAUCGUCAGUUUAUCUGAAACUCUAGUUAUAGAUUCGCUAUAUAUACAGAAAAAAUGUUUAUACUUAAAAGACAUUAACAUUUAGAUGUUUAUGGCAGAGAUCAAUUUAUGUUAUCAAAUGCUACUCAAUUAUAUUGUAGCUCGUGGAUUUCAAAUCCAAAAACUACAUAUUAAGAUAAAUCAAUUAAAACAAUAACAUAUUUAUCAUUACAUAACAUAUAUCCAUAACUAGUACUAUAAAUUUAUAUUAAGUAAAAUAACCAUUGACCAACACGUGUGAUAUAAUUAUUGCCAUAAAACUAAUUACUUCUUUUUAAUAUGAUUUGACGGCGUCUUAGUAACUAUUUCAAAUAAUUAUUGAAGUUCAAAAAAAGUCAAAAUACAUAUUAUUUUAAAAUAUUUACAUUUGUUAAUUAAAGAAACCAAUUUUAAUGUAUAGUUGUUAUAAAAGAAAAAAACCAACUACUAAUAUAAUUCAAAUUUGAGAAACUCUUAUUUUCCACUAAACCACCACCACUAGUACUAUCAAUAUACAAAGUACUUUAAUAUGAUCACUCUUUAAUAUGUAUGGUAUAGACUUAUAUGUAUGGCGGAAAAAAAAAUGUAUGGUAUAGACUUAUAGUUAUUACAAUUUUUGAUCUUGCUACAAAAUUACUAUUGUUUUGAAUAUGAUUUGACGGAGUAUUGUUUUAAUUAAUUUUCUAAAUGUGUUAUUUUAGAUUCAAAAUCCAUAUGUCACAUUAUAAUUAACAAGCAUUUGAUAAAGUAAAUUUAUCUCCAACAUAAACAUCUAAAAAUUGAUGUAACUUAAGUAUAAAUGUUCAACAAUAUGUAACAUUGAACAAAAAAAACAAAAUAUGUAACAUUGAUGCAGGAACUAAGAGUGUUUAGAGCACCCUCAAUGGUUGGAUCCAAAAAUUAGGAUCCAAACAAGAUUUAUAAUUUUAAUAAUGGAAAAUAAAAAAUUUAGACACUUUUGAGUGUUUUCUUUUAUCUUGAGACAGUUUAAUGGUGGAAUCCAAAAAGUGAAGAUCUAAAAAUUUCAAAUUUUCAAAAAAUGUGUAUAAGUUGGUUGUGUUACAAACUAUACAAUGUCUGAAUCUUACUUGUUAAUAAAUGUGUGAGCAUUGAACCACAGAAAGAGGCCUCCAAGAGAGUAUCGAAAUGUGACAAAAAAGACUCAACAAAUGAUACUCAACCAGCUGGAAUAGAACCCAAAUGGCAGUCGCAACACCAAGAACAUCAGCUGACAGUUUUUUAUUCAUCCAAAAGAACACAUCAGCAGCUGCAAAGAAUCAUUGAGAAAAGAGACAUAAGGCCAACGACAUGUGAGAAAGAAAAAAAAAGAAGAGAUUAGAAUUCCACAGAACUCAAAAUUGGUGUAGCAAUUUAUUGAUUGAUGGUUAACCAUCAACCAUCCACAGAUCCUAUAAUCCUAAAGUUGGUUGAUGGUUAAGUUAUUGAUGGACUGAUGUCACUCUCAACAAAUUCAGGUGGAUAGAAGAUAAAGUUGGUGGAGAAUCAGUUGCUGGACUGAACUUACUUUCAAUAAAUGCGAUAAAGAUGAAUAGAUGGGUGGAUCGGUAGCAUCAUAAGGGCUAUGGAAAGACCUUUGAUACACCUUGACAAGUUUAGUUUAAAGGAAUCACACACAAUGAAAUAAAAUUCUAAAGAUAUCAAGAUAUCACAUAUUAAUAUACAAAAUCUCUCUAAUUUUUACUUAAUUCUUAAAUUGUUUUUAUUCAUAAAAUAAGCUUCAUAAUAUAGAAAAAUACAUAAAAACGUUUUCAAAAGUAGCCUAACAUGCAUCACACCUUGGGAAUUGAAAUUCAAACUCUUAACUGCAUGUAAGAGAGAGAAACCCACUUAAAUAAAUGCUAUCUUAAUUGUGGCCUUAAAUAUUCCAAUUAAAAUCCAUUUUUCUUAAAUCCAAACCCAUAAAGUUUCAAACUAUGAGUAGAUGUUUUGCUUAUACAUUCAGAUUUGAUGACUUCAUCAAACAUCAAUCCAUAACAAGUACCAUACUGUCCAUACAUGUAUAUUAGGUAAACUGACUAUUGACCAACACGUGCGAUAUAACUAUUGCCAUAAAACCUAUUUUUUAAAAUUUGAUAACUAAACUAGUUAGUAAUAUAGAAUUAAAUUUUUAUAUAUAAUUAAUUUUCGCUAUUAGGUAAAUUUACUAUUAACAAACCUAUGCAAUAUAAGUUAUAACUGUUACCAUAAAACUCUUGUUUUACAAUUUGACGGCAUACUAUUAAUUAUUAUAGUAAACUAAUUAUAUAUAGAAUUCAAAUUUUAUAUAUAGUCAUUUUUUAAUAGACAACCGCCUCUUGUUUAUUUAAUACAUACACGUGCGAUAUAACUAUUGUCAUAGAAUUAAUCACUUUUUUCUUUUAUAUAAUUGACGACAUAAUAUAAUACUUAUUUCAAAUAAGUUAUUGAAGCUCAAGAAACAAAAUACAUAUUAGUUUUUACUUUUAUAAAUUAAAAAAAAAAAAACCGUUUACAAAUAUAAUUUCAAUUUGAGAAACAGUCAUUUUCAACUAAACCACGACUACUAGCUUCUUCUUUUUUACAUCUCAUUCUCACCCCUACUUCAUAUUUAUCUUUGUUUUUUUUUGUUAAAUCCAAUCUUUAUCAUUUACAUUUUUCAAUAGAAAAUUUCAGAAAAAAGACCAGAAUAAAUAAUAAAAUAUUGACCCAAAACAAUUAAAGAAAAUAAAACAAUUAGUUACCAUUCUGUCACGAUCUUAUCGAAACUGUGAGAUUUUUUUUCAUUUUUAGAUAUUUUCUUUUUAAUUCGUUUUGAAAAUUUUAAUUUUAAAGACGCUCUCUUUUCUUCUUCCCCAAAAUAUUUCAAAACCCGCCUCUUCAUUUUUCUCCUUCCUCUACUUAUUUACGUCUUUCCCCAAUUUUCUCACAAAUCUCAAAAACACCAUUUUCUCUCACUCGUUUCAACAAUGGCGCCUGAAGUUCAGUUUCCUUGCGACGGAGACGGUGUAUGUAUGCGGUGCCAGGGGAAACCUCCGGCAGAAGAGACUCUCACGUGUGGCACGUGCGUCACGCCUUGGCACGUGUCGUGUCUCCUUCCAGAAUCACUCUCUUCUUCCACUGGAGAGUGGCAGUGUCCCGAUUGCUCUGGCGAUGUCGUUCCCUCCGCCGUUCCGGUUACCGGAAACGCUAACGCUGGACUUGAAACAUCCGGUUCAGUUCUCGUAGCAGCGAUCCGUGCGAUUCAGGCUGAUGUGAAUUUGACGGAAGCUGAGAAAGCCAAAAGGAGGCAGAAACUGAUGAGUGGUGGUGGUGACGAUCGUCUCGAUGAAGAAGACAAAAAGAAGUUAGAGAUCUUUUGUUCUAUUUGCAUUCAAUUGCCAGAAAGACCUAUCACGGUUCGUUCGUUUUCAUCGAUUCUUCAAAUCAAUAGAUUAUGUGCUUGUGAUUUGUGUUAAUGCCUCGUUAAAUCUUGUGAUUAGUGUUAAUAACAGUACUAGAAUCGCUAAUUUAUGCUUGUGGUUUGUGUUUAUGACUUGUUGGAUCUUGUGAUUAGUACACAUAACAGUAGUAGAAUUGCUAAUUUAUGUGUUUGUUGUUGAUAAGGAUGAUUAUAUGCUUGUGAUUUGUGGUAAUGACUCGCUAAAUCUUGUGGUUAUUGAUUAGUGUUAAUAACAGUAGUAGAAUCGCUAAUUUAUGUGUUUGUUGUGGAUAAGGAUGAUUAGUAUUACACUAAUGGCUUAUUUGCAAUCAGUCUUACGCUUGUGAUUGUGUUAAUGCCUUGUUGAAUCUUGUUAUUAGUACACAGAACAGUAGAAGAUUUGUUAGUUUAUUUGUGUUCUUGAUAAUGAUGAUGAGCGUAUUUAAGUAGCAUACUAAGUGUAUAUAAGUAGCAGACUAAUGGUUGUACUUGUGUUUGUAGACACCGUGUGGGCACAACUUCUGCUUGAGAUGUUUCGAGAAAUGGGUAGGUCAAGGGAAGCUAACUUGUAUGACAUGCCGAACCAAAAUUCCGAAAAAUGUUGCGCGAAAUCCUCGCAUCAACUUAGCUCUAGUCUCUGCUAUUCGUUUAGCAAGUGUUACCAAAUGUUCUGUUGAUGCAACUGCGGCCAAGGUUCAUCAUAUUAUCCGCAACCAAGACCGUCCUGAGAAAGCCUUUACUACCGAGCGGGCUAAAAAGACUGGGAAAGCUAAUGCUGCUAGCGGAAGGAUUUAUGUCACAGUACCUGGUGAUCAUUUUGGUCCCAUACCAGCUGAAAAUGAUCCCACUAGGAAUCAAGGUGUUUUGGUUGGAGAAUCUUGGGAGGACAGGCAAGAAUGUAGGCAGUGGGGAGCUCAUUUCCCGCAUGUUGCUGGCAUUUCCGGGCAAUCAGCGGUUGGAGCUCAGUCUGUGGCGCUCUCUGGAGGUUAUGAUGAUGAUGAGGAUCAUGGUGAAUGGUUUCUCUACACAGGAAGGUUUGAUUUUUAUAUUACUCCUAUAACACUUUGAUGCCUGUAUAUUUGUAGCUUGUGUCUUUUCUUAUAGAAGUAAUGUGUGAAUGUGUGUUGCAGUGGUGGAAGGGAUCUCGGAGGAAACAAAAGAACUAACAAGAUACAGUCUUCUGACCAGUCGUUUGCAAAAAUGAAUGAAGCUCUAAGACUUAGUUGCAAAAUGGGCUAUCCUGUCCGAGUUGUCAGGUUAGCUUUUCUCCAGACUCUCAACUUUAUGUGAAUGGGAUGCUUUCUUUAUUGAAUAAGAAUAGAUUAUCUUUGGUCAUCGAUAUACUCUGAGCAGAAAGUUAUCCUGACUCUUUAGGUCUCACAAGGAGAAGCGUUCUGCAUAUGCCCCUAAGGAAGGAGUGAGAUACGAUGGGGUCUACCGAAUCGAGAAGUGCUGGAGCAACGUUGGAAUACAGGUUGAAUAUAUAGCUAACAUUCCUAUAUUGUUCUUUCUAUGCAGAGCUGGAUUGUUUUAUUCCUGAAGUACACUCUUCUGUUUUCUGUAGGGUUCUUAUAAGGUCUGUCGUUACCUGUUUGUUAGAUGUGACAAUGAGCCAGCUCCAUGGACCAGGUUUGAUCUUCUUCUUUUUUUUUCCGGAAAGGUGCCUUAUUUCUGUAUUUGCUAAUUGAUGGCUCAUGAGAUUUUGAAUUAUAUACUGCAGUGAUGAGCAUGGCGAUCGUCCAAGACCUUUGCCUAAUAUUCCAGAGCUUAAGAAAGCUACUGACCUGUUUGUGAGAAUGGAGAGUCCAUCAUGGGAUUUCGAUGUUAGUACACCCUGUCUUUUGUUUGAGCAUUCUUCGGCUGGUUCAUGAUUUGUGACCUUUUUCCCUGUGCCUGCGGAUACAUUUUCCUUGAUUAGGAAGCUGAGGGUCGUUGGAAAUGGAUGAAGUCUCCACCUGUUAGCAGAAAGGCUGUUGCUGCUUUGGAUCCUGAGGAGAGGAAGAUCAUUAGGAAAGCAAAAAACGGAAAUAACAGACUUCUCAAAGGUAAACAUCGAUUACCACUUGUGUUAUUAUUGUAUCUAGCACAAUACAUAACUGUGAUUUGGGUAAUAUUUGACACAGAAUUCGGCUGCCAAAUCUGUCGGAAAGUGCUGAGUUUUCCAGUGACGACCCCUUGUGCUCACAACUUCUGCAAAGCAUGCCUGGAAGCUAAAUUUGCUGGGGUCUCUCAAGUGAGAGAGAGAAGCAGAGGCGGGCGCACACUACGUGCAAAGAAGAACAUAAUGACCUGUCCGUGCUGCACUACCGACCUCUCCGACUUUCUUCAAAACCCGCAGGUAAAAAACAAAAACCACUCUCCUUAAAUUCUAGUUUUUACCAAUUUUGUUGUAAUAACUUUGGCUAACAUGAAUCAAUGCUUCAUAAACUAGGUGAAUAGAGAAAUGAUGGAAGUUAUCGAAAAUCUGAAGAAGAAAGAGGAAGAGGCUGAAUCAAGCAAAGACACUGCAGAGUCUUCUGGAGGAAACAACACCGAGUCUGAAGAAGAAGAAACUCAGACUGUGUCUGAAGUUGAACCACCAACGAAGAGGAUCAAAUUGGUUGAUACAGUUGCAGCAGCAGCCACUGACUGUGUUGGAAAGUAAACAGAAGACUUCUUUUAAGAGAUAAAGAGUAUAAUAACUCUCUCAAGCUGAAGGACUUUUUAGUCUUUUUGUAAUAUUCCGUAAACGAUUGUGGUAUGCUUUGAACUUAUUGUUUUGGUUUUUAUUCUAAAACUUAUUUCAAAUUUCUCGUAUCUUUUUUUUUUUUUAUCAUAAGAUAUAAUUUGAAGUUAAUCCGUGAUUUUAUUUUUUUUGGUUUCUUAGUAGUUUCGAAAUAUAUUUUAGUGUACUUGUAUAGUACUAAUUUAGACUAUUUAGCAUCUGAUAUAAUUAACCCAACAUGAAGUUGAGAUCUGAAAAAUGAGCAAAAAUAUCGACUCAUAUAUUUUAUAGGGAGAAUAAUUAGAAUGACUUAUAUGUGAGAAUUAAUAACUAGAAUAACUCAUAUAUUUUAAUAAUAACUAGAGUGUGGGAAUUAAUAACUAGAAUAGCCCAAAAUACUCUUAUAAAGCUUUGUACAAAAAAUCAUAAUAAUAAAAAUGUCAUUAAAAAAAUGUCAUCGACACAAAAGUUGCCGUUAUUUACACAAAAAACUAUUAUUAUUUACAUUUUGCCACUAAUCUCUGCGAAUUCAAAUAAAUCCGUAGAAUAAAUCUGCUACAGAUUUGAUAAAUCAGCCAAUAAAGAAUUAGAAGAAGAGAAGACAACAAAUUUUGGACAAAAAAGACUUACUUAUUAGCUGGAGAAGACGAUUGUGUGAGAAGCAUCGUCGCCGGAGAACAAGACUCGUCGGAUAAGAAGCAUUUGUGAGAAGGAGUGGCGAGGGAGAAGUUGACUCUGUGAGAAGGAGCCACGUGGGAGAAGCAGCGACACAUAAGAAGGAGGAUCGCCGGAGAAGCAGCAGCGCCGGAGAAGAAGACUCACCGGAGAAUAGGGUUUUCGGAGAGAAGAGAGAGGAGUCCGAGGAAUGUGAAAAGUUUUAGAUUUUAGGUUUAUGAUUUUGGGCUUUGAUUUGUUUUGUAAAUAUUUUUUAUUUUUUUCAAAAUUAAAUGAAAAUGGCAUUUUCGUUAAUAAAAGUAAAAAUUGGUUUGAAUGUCUUUCUACAAUUACAAAAGAUGUAGGUCAUUCUAGUUAUGAGUUUCAGAACAGAGUCAAACAAAUUAUUUAACAUAAGAUAUGAGUUAUUCUGAGUAAUUUUAACUAUUUUAUAUACCUCACUUUUUUUUUUGGUAGGCAACGGGGAGACACGCAAUUAUUACAAAACUAAAAAUAAACUAAUUCCGAAUGAGUCUUGGAAACGCAGUUCCUCGAGCAUCAUCCUGGACCAGCUCAUCCACAGACGUCGGGGCCGACUCUAAUAAAUGAAAGCCUAAUGGCAAAGAAAAAGCAUGGUUAGCUAACCCAUCCGCAGGACGGUUAGCCUCCCUAUAUACAUGCGAAAUCCGGACUAUCCAGUCCCUGGAAAUGAAGCCAUGGCACAAGCGUACCAGGAAAGACAGGGGAUUCGAAUCGCUUACCCCUGCCUUCAAGAAACCAACCACCAACUCCGAGUCCACCUCCAACUCCAAACGCGUCACCUUCCUCUCCCAAGCUAUAUAUAAACCAUAGUAGACUCCCCAUAAUUCUGCCAAAGGAGCUGAGCAAAUACCAAUGUUAAGAGCAAACCCUUGUACCCACACUCCCGUUCUAUCUCGCAGAACUCCACCGGCCGUGGCUACUCCCGGGUUCCCUCGAGAUGCCCCAUCCGUAUUCAACCUUAACCACCCCUCCCCCGGUGGUUUCCAUGAUAUCAUUCUCUCUGUUCGACCUCUCCUCUCCAUAUCCUCACGAGUUGACCUAUGCGCCUGAUUAACUUCCACGGAUAGGUCCUUUAUAAACUUCACACGAUCCCGACAUUUUCCGGUUUCCCCAAAAACAUACCCGCAUCGCCACUUCCAACUCCACCAUACCCCCAUUGCGAACAUCGUUGACCAUGGACACUCCUUCGUGUUGUCUCCUGGUUUUAAAUUCUCAAACAACCACUCCAACAAUGAGCCAUGAAAAAAGCUCUGUCUCCUCCGAGCCGGUACUAUGCGGGACCAAAUCCCGAGAAUUGACGGACAAUCUCUCAGCACGUGCAUGAUCGUCUCUUCCCCUCCCUUACAUACUUGGCAGAAUUUUAUAUACCUCACUUGAUGUGUGGUGGUAAUAAAAAAAAAAAAACAAUUUUUUUUAAUAACAAAAACAAUUUUUUUUUCUUUUUACUGUUCGUCAUGUUAUCUCGAAAUUAGGACAUGGAUUGAGUUUGGUCCAGAGUUCUUCAACCGUAGACAUGUACGAAGGUAUAAUAAUGUGCUUAGAAGUUCUGGAGGGGCUUGCAGGAGUUGCGUGCCACAGACAUUUACUACAAAUCUCUUUUGCUUGAUACAACAAGCUUCUUUCUCAAUCUGCUUGGCAUUUCUCACUUUAAAACGAAUUUUCCUAUAAUAAUACUAAAGUUCCUUACUAUAAUAAUAAGUUAACAUUUGCGGCUUAUAAUGUUGGUCUUUAUUUCACACUUAUUAGAAAUUUAUUUUUGUUUUGUAUUUCAUUACAUAUAUCAAUAUAAAAUACCAAAUAGCUGGUUUUCUUAUGUUUGAGAUUUAAUUUUUCCUUGGUACAGAGCGUUAUUUUCUAAAUUGGAAUAUCUAAAGCCUGACUCCGAAAUAUUGGAGGAGACUAAGCCAAAGAGGCAAAGAUCACAUUAGUUUCUACGAUAAGGGGAUGGCCUUACCAGUGUGAGGCAAAAUAAUUUUUUUAACAACAAAUAGAAUCACUACUUUUUAAGUUUAAUUAUAUAAUAUUUAAAACUUUUUAAAAGUUUAUUAACCGUAUACAAACUUUUAAAUUUGGAUGUUUGGUAAAUUAAUCUUCAUUCUCAUUCAGAUUUGGAUAUGACUCUGAAAUGUUGUCUAAACAUUAUAUUUUAUUUGAUAUGGGACGAUGAACACACAUUUUUUUUAUUAAUUGACUAAAAAAAUGUCAGUUAUUUUUUUUAAUUCGAAUCACAAUAUAUGCAUAAAAUAUAUUUAGAUUUUUUAUUAAGUUUAUGUAUUAUAUGCUGAUCCAAAAAAUUUUAAAACAAAAUUAAGCAAAAAUGAUAGGAGAAUUAUAAUUUAUAUAUUAACAAAAUCUUCUAAAUAUUUAUAUUAUUAAUUAUGGAACAUUAUAUUCAUAUUCUUAGUUUUAUAAAUAAUGUUAAAAUCUUUUUAUUAUGUUUGGUUAUAUGUAUAGUAGAGAAUUAAUUUUUUAAAUAUACUUCAAAAAAUACUAGUAUAGAUAUAUUUUCUUGUAAUGUACUAUAAAAUAGUUCACAUAAUGCCAACUAGACGAACUUAGAAUCUAUAAACAAAUUAUUGAAAAAACUAUUACUAAAUAAUAUGUUGUCAAUAAUAUAUAGAUGCCAUGGUUUAGUUGUACCAAAAAGACUUAUCUUUAGGACUUUUUAAUUCAGAAAAUUUCAUCAUAUAAACUAUUAAAUGAUUUACAUGAAACUCAGAUUAAAAGAAUAUUUUCAUAUUCGAAAGUAACAUUAUAGACAUCAUAUCAUAUAUUCUAAAGUUGAGAAUUAUUUAUAUAUUUUCAUGUAUUCAGUUUAAGGAAUUGAGAAAGCUUAAGUAUAAAAUUAGAGUCACAAUGACAUAUAUGUAGCUCAUAUACUUUAAAAAUUGAAUAUAUAAAUUAAAAUAAAGAAUCUAAAACUGCUACAAUUAAAUUAUGGAAUAUUACAAAAAGGAAAAGCAUAUCACACAUAUUCCUAAGUGAAAUAUAAUCGCUAACUAAAAUGAAAAAAAGAAAACAAAUAUUAAAUCUCACACAUUAGUAACUGAAAAAAUUACGAAUAUUUGUUAUUUUUUGUUUAGACAAAGAAAAAUAAGUUAAAAAUAGCGUCGACGUCUAAUUGAUUGACUUAUACUUUACUCAAUCUUGUGAAUUAGAAUUUUCACAUGUGCAGAAUUCUCAUGAGAAAGUUCAAUUUUCAUAAUCUUAUUUCAUUUUAUCCAACUUGCAAACUCUAUCUUUAUCUAUCUAAAUUAUAUUGUUUUUCUUCAUUCUUUUGCUUGCUCUACUUGAAAGUUUUUUCCAAAGAUUUUAUUUCCUUUCUUGCAAAAGAAGAAAAAGUGAUGAAACAAACAAUACUUUUAGUUUAUUUUAUUGUCAGAGUUUCUAAUGUAAUUUAUACAUAUAACAAAAAGUAUCCACAUGAUAUAAGAUCCACUUUAUUUAAUGGAUAACUCUUAAUUUUUGAACACCAAGAACAUCAUAUAAUCAAAUUCAUAUUUAUUUAGUUUAGUAACUGAUCUUCAUAAAUUGCAACAAUAGAUUAUGAUGUUUUUACUCAUCUUUAUAUCUAUCAUCUAACUUGUGACAUUCAAUAUCUUUGGUAUGAAGCUUAUUAUUUGGGAUAUCAUAACCUAUGUUACAAUCUUGAAAUAUCGGUAUCCCAAUGAUAUUUUCUUCUAGCGGAUACCCAUUCACGGAUAGACGAAAGUGGUCAUCAUCGAGAUGGAUGAACAAUUGUAUUGUCUUCAUCUUCAAUAUUAUCUCGUCCAAUUUGAGGGAAGAUUUUAGUUUCUCGUAUUUCGGUAUAUUCUUCUCAUAACAAAUUAUUCCAUCACUUAUUUUCUUCGCAAUUGUUUUUUGGAGAAAACACAAUAAACUAUUUUGAUUAAACUAAUAGUAAAAGUUCAUGUGACCAGCUGUAUUGGAUUUGCACAACAUUUUAUAUAUCUAAAAUUUUCCAUCGAUGAUUAUUGAACUUAAAUUGAUUCUAUCAUUCUACUUCUUCAAUUCUUCAUAUUCAGUGACAAAUGUAUUCCACAAAACACCACAUCAUCUCCUAAGGUGAGAAAUGCUUUCGGCAAAAAUGAUCACUAAAAUUUCCUAUAUAUAUAUAUCACUUUUAAACUGAAAAUAUUAAUUAUAUAAAAAUAUAAAAUUACAAGAGUUAAAUUCAGGAAUACUAAAAUAUAUAUCAAUCACACAUAUAGCAACUUAUAUUAGUAUUGUAAAUGUAUUUUUUUUGUUAAUUUUCUUAUUUAGUUAAGAAUAAAUUAAAAAAAAUGUGUCCACAUCUAAUUGAUUGAUUAACACAUGUCUUAAUCCUGUUGGUUAAAUUUUUGGCAUGUAUCGAAUUCUUAUGAGAAAAUUCAAGAUUCAUAUAAUAAGAGUAGAUGAUACCUACAACACACAAUGUUUUUUUUGAAGUAUAAUUAAAUUUUAUUUAAAAGGUGUGGAUGUAAAUAUAUAAUAUUGAAACUGAUUUUUAUAGUUAUGUACCGUUUUCCUAUUAAAUGUAAAUUUUAGUUAGACUAUUAUUUGUCUUACAAUAAGCAAUGUUAUACACACGGCCUAGACUAUAGAGAUGUACAAAUUUGUCAUGUUUAAUAUUUUUAUUUUUAUAUAAGAUUGAUUCUAUGUAUGGAAUAUUUAAAAUUUGUACAUUGAAUAUAGAUUUUGAUGAAUGGAAUUUUUUAUGAAGUUUUAUAUAUUUGGAGAGAAAUAUUCAAAUUUCAUUUUCUCACUUUUAAAUUCGUUUUAAUUAAUUAUUCUAUCUAACUAAUUAAAUGAAAAUUUAAUGACAUAUAAAUAUAAUGUAAUAUUCAACAAAUUUAAAGUUGAUUUUUAAAAUGUAGUUCCUUUUUAAUAUUAGUAGGAUAUACACAUUAGCAUACAUGUUUUUAACCAACAAAAAUCUGACUCUCCAGAGAAUCUUUAGACCAAACAUAAUGCUGAAAAAGCUCUUUUAAUCUACAUGUAGUCGUAAUCGUCCAUGGGACCAUAAGGACCAGCCACUAGAUUAUCAUCGGGCUUAUCUACAAUAGGUUGUUUCUUCUUUCCACCUAAUGAAUCAAUGAAAAACAAGUUCAUGAUCACAAAAUAUAUUCACACUUAAGUUCAAAGUAACAAAUUAACAACACUAUUUGCCAAGAAUAAGUUUAGAAAGUGAUUGUGAGUGCACAUAUGACAUACCCAUCUUCUUUUUACCCGCAACAGCUUGUUUCUCUGCCUUAAGUAUUUCAUUUGCUAUCGCUGUAAUUGACGAAGCGACAUCUUCAGUAUCUGCUGCUUUCAUGUUGGUCAUUGAAAGUCUCAUGAUUGUUUUGAGUAGUGCAAUAUAGUGAUAACUUUUCUGUAAAACAUAAAAUAUGAUUGUUAACAUGUCAUGAGCGUUAUAGCCAAAGAGAAACGUAAAAGAAAGAACACAAACAUACCUCAAAUGGUUUAAGGCCAUGAGAAAUAGUUUUAGCAUAUUCCAAAAAAUCACUUUCGGACUUGGGGAGAAGCAUCUCAAUGUUUUUUUCUAGACCCUUCACUCCAAAGAGUUCAGAACUCGCUUCCGGGGCUUUAUACUUCUGUACAACAGUUUUGGAAGCUGCUUUCUUGGGAGCCUUCUCGGGAACAGGGUUUACGACAGGCGGCUAUACGAAAACAAAUUCAUGUUUCAAAUCAUAAACCAAUCAUCCAUAUUUGCUACUGUAUUGGGUAGUAGUAAUAUAUAAGCUGCUAACUUCUCUUCUCUUGUUUUGAUAAACACCAAAGCUCUCUAAAUUUUAUUAUGGGAUGAAGUUUCACAAACGUUAGCUGAUUGAUACUAGCUAGUAGCUAGUAUCAAAUUACAUCAAUGUAUCUAAUAAUAAUCAAAGCCAUUCUACAUUUUAAGCUAUAUAAGAGGUUGAAAAAUUGAAGUGUAUGCCAGUAAGUAUUAUAAUUUAAAUUCGUAAGUUUUUUACUAUUUGAGAAUUUGUUAAACUGGUUCCAAAAAAAAGUUUUAUAUGUAGAUAACGUUAGUUUAAAAAAAAAAAAACAAUUCGCGUUAGAUGAUGGUCCACGUUAAAAAAGAGAGGAAUUUGCUCGGAUUGAAGGCGUUGCAGUUUCGCCGGCAAACAUUAACGCUCUGCAUGUCAGCUUGACCUCUUACAUGGGCUUGUAUUCAUCGGAUCUCGGUCAAAUGGUGAACCAAGAACCAGAGAAAAGACCACAGACCCGAUCGAUUGCGUAAAGCCCGCAGUAACGAAACCAAGGAAAGUAUACAGAAAAGACAGUGUACCGCAGUCAGGAUGCGCUUCCGUUGGGAGGGACGUCUGCCGAUAGAUGUGUAUCACAUAGUGACAUAGAUGUACAAUGGAUCUCCUUUGCUCGAUACUACGUGUGCUUGAUCAAUCCGGUAGCUUCUUCAAGUUGGGCAUUACUCGACCCAAAACGAAAAUCCCUUGAAACUUACGUUUUUCUUCCAAUGUCUUUAAUAUUAUAUGAAAUAAAGAGAUGAGGAAGAUCUCUUCCAAUGUAUAACCUAGGCCUGAGCUAAAUAACCGAACCACAAGAACCGAACUGGAACCGAAACAAAAAAACCGAACCAGAACCGAACUGAAAUUUUAAAAUACUCAAAUGGAUCCUAAAUUUUAGAACCGAAAGAACCGGAACCGAACCGAACCAAAAUAUUUCGGGUACCCGAAAAUACCCGAAAUAUGAGUUUAUAUCUAAAAAUAUUAGUUUUUUUAAGGUCGAAUAACCAAAAAUAGCCGAAAUACCAACAAAUAUAUGGAGAAUAUAUGAAAAAAUACUUACAAUAUCCAAAAAAUACAAAAAAAUAUCCAAAAUACCUAAAAAUAUCCGAAUGGAUCCUAAAUUUCAGAACCGAAAGAACCUGAACCGAACCGAAAUUGAUUGGUUCCUAUAUGGAUCCUAAACUCUAGAACCGAAAUAACCGGAACCGAAUGGGUACCCGUACGCCCAUGCCUACGGCGUUUGCUAAUACAGUGAUUCUAGGUUUCCUACCAACAUUAGCAAAUUCAAAUUGUAACGUACCAACAUUUUCUCUCUUACUCAAUAGGAUUCUUUAAAGAUUGGACAACCAGAAAAGCAUCCAUGGAUAAAAGAAAUUGAAUCCCCAAAAGAUUUAUCAUCAUCCUCUUCACAUCAAUGUCAAUUAUAAAUUUAUACGGACAAUUUAAGUAAAGAAUUUUCAACCACCAAAAAGAACCAAAAACAUGACUCCAGAGAAUCUCUAGACCGAACCAAAACAAAAGCUUUUUCAAUGUUCCAACUAUAUAUUCCCACAACAAGAAAUUUGGCUUCUUCUUGCUCUAUUCGAACCAAAAUUAAGAAAAUUUGCUUCUUCUGAGUGAUAAAUAAUAAAAUAGACGCUGGGCAAUCCAAUUUGCAUUUGCUCAAAAAGCUCUUUAAUCUACAUGAAGUCGAAGUCGUCCAUGGCAUCAUAAGGACCAGCCACUAGAUCGUCAUCGGGUUUAUCUACAAUAAGUUGUUUCUUCUUUCCACCUGAUGAAGCAAUGCAAUGGUCAUGUAAAAUGGAUUCAGAAUAACGAAUUCACAAAACUAAAAGCCAAAGAUAAACCGCUGUAGCCAGAGGCAUGAACGAAACUCAGGACAGAAUUUAGAAAGUGAUUGUGAGUGCACAUACCCUUCUUUUUGCCUGCAGCAGCUUCUUUCUCCGCCUUUAGUUUUUCAUUUGCUAUCGUUGUAAUGGACGAAGCAACAUCCUUAACAUCUGCUGCUUUCAUGUUGGUCAGUGAAAGUCUCAUGAUUGUUUUGAGCAGCGCAAUAUAGUGAUAACUUUUCUGCAACAGAAACCAAAUAUGAUUUUCACACGCCAUGAGCUUCGGUUCUAGCAAAUGAUAAUAAAGGUAUGUCUUUAAGACAGAAUACAGCAUACCUCAUAUGGUUUAAUCCUAUGAGAAAUCAUUUCAGCAUAUUCCAAAAAAUCGCUUUCAGACUUAGGGAUAAACAUAUCAAGGUUUUUUUCUUCAUCCUUCACUCCAAAGAGCUCAGCGGUUGACCGGUAGUCGGCUUCCUCAACAAGCCUGUGAUAGAAAGAAUAUAACAUAUAAGAUCACAUAGACCUUCACAGCCUUCUAUCUAAAUGAUAUUUCUUUCCUUCCAACAAAGACGCAAAGUACAAAAGAUUAAAGGGAAGUAUUGUUUAUAAAGUAUAAACUGUACCUCUGCUGGCGAAGUUUCUCCACUAUAGGAUCUAGAGGUUCUUCUUUAGGAACUUCGAUUGCUUUACCCUUCUUUUCAACAGUUUUGGGGGCUGCUUUCUUAGGAGCCUUCUCCGGAGCAGGUUUUACAACAGGCGGCUACAGAAAAACAACAAGGCAAAGCAGACAAAACAUAAAUGUUCCCGCUGGAAUCUCAAACCAAAUUACACGUAGUAGACAAUACGGAAAGAAUUACAGAGAGUAAAAACUAAGAAAUACCUGAGCAGGUUCUUCAUCAUCAUCCUCCCAUGACUCCUUAAUUUCAUUCACAUCAACAUCCUCAUCAUCCCAGUUACUUUUAAGCUCAACUUUUGCUGGAAGUGGUGCAAUUUGCUCGUCCUCUGAAAGUAAAUAAUUAAAACCUAUAAGACUACUCACAUGCAAGUGAUUCGAUUUUGAAAUGUGAAUCCAAUCAAAUUAGCAAAUAAUCCAACCAAUGCUAUAAUUAAAUAAGACGACUAUAUUUAGAUACAAAUAGAGAAUAUAAGAGAGGACACUUAAAGCAUAGUCUUACCCCAGUCAUCCAUAUUUGCUGCAAAUUAUCGGGUACAAAUAUAAGCUGCUAUCUGAGUCCAACUGGUAAACCUGCCAAACAUACGCUUAAGCAUCAGAAUCAAGUUGAUUGGAUCAAACUACAUUACUGAUCAAUCCAUAUAAUCAAAUACACGGAUCACCCCGCUCAUAAAUGGUCUCUCCACGGUGAUGCUUACAUCUAAAACACUUCUAUGUCCUGGUACGUUUUAUAACAUGCAUAAAACCAUAUUGACAUUUCAAUAGCAUCCUCAUUCUGUUAAUCAGGAUGAUAUUUUAAAUAAAAGGUGUAAACUAGACAUAGCAGUCCAACUAAAGUUCACAGCUGAUUUCGCAGCUAAAGUUUACAUCUAAAUACACUGAUUUCACAGCUAAAGUUCUUACAAAAAACAUAGACAUAGCAGUCCAACUCGUAGUACACACCCACGAAGAACAGCUAAACCUAAUGCUUACAAAAACCAAGAUACAUUCUAUCAAUUAAAACUAUUACAGGCAUGUCAGCUAUAUCUAAAUCACAAGUUUCAUGAACUCUCACAGAUGCCAAACAAAAAACAUUAACCAAAAUUCUUCUGAUUUUGGUAAUCAAAGUGUGAAGAUUCAAAUCUCAGUCAAAUCCAUAUAAAUCCCUCAAUCGAAACCAAUCAACAUGGUUAAAAUCCAAAUUGAUUGACAACUGAAAGAGCAGAGAAAAGGUAACAAAUUGGUCAUAGUAAUCUACACAAAGAGAAUUUUUGAUGAUAAAGUUCGAAACUUUAACCAUGAAUUCGAGAACACAACAUUAAGAAAUCAAAUCAAAAUCAUAAAUUGGAGCAAUUCUAUAGAAACCCACCUAAGAUCAAUCGAAAUUUAAGAUCUAGAAGCGAAUUUAACUAAGAAAGGAGAAACCUUUAAUAAGAAAACAUACCGAGAAAAGUCUGAAUCCAAAAGGGUUCUUCGUAGAGGAAGAGAAAUCGGAAGAAGAUUGAAGCGUUUUGGUUGGAUUGGAAUCUCCUCCGAUGUGUUGUGGUUUUGCUUCAGAGGUUAAAGGGAUGGAUUUUAAAUGCCUUUGUGAAGUUGUUUUUUUGUGGAUUUAGGGUUUAUUUAUUUAUUUUAGGGGUGUUUGUUUCCCUUUUUCGUUAGAUUUAUGCCUUUUUCUAGGCCUCGACAAAAUACCCGGACGAAUAUCCGAACCGAAAAAUCCGAAAAAAUAUCCGAACUGAAUCCGAACCAAUUUUUAAAAAUACCCGAAUAGAUCGUAGACCUCCUACCCGAAAAAAACCCGAACCGAAUCAAAUAUCCGUGGGUAUCCGAAUACAAAUAUACACUGAAAAUAUUAGUUAUACUAGAUUUGAACCCGCGGUACACCGCGGGGCUAUAACUUUUUUUAAAAAAAUCUAAAUAUAAUUAGUUUUGUUUAUUAAUAGAGAGUAUAAUAUAAUAUUUCGACCUAUUUUAUAAAUGUACCAUCCAUAUAUCUAUAUUAAUAGUUUUGAGUAUAUUAAUUGUGUUUUAGGUUUAAAUGGUAUAUCUAUAUAUACACUUAAACGACAUUUGGUUUUCUUCUUUAUUUUACCUCAGUUUAGGAGAAAGAUUUUUCUUGCGGUACACCGCGGAGCUAUUAUUUUUUAAAAAAGAUUUUUCUUCCUUAAACUUCCAAAUCUAGAUUUUACUUCGAUUUUUUUAUAACUAAAAAAUUAUUUUGCAAAAUUUUAAGUUGUAUUUGUUUUGUUAAUAUUGUUUAUUUUGUUUAGUGUUUCUGAUUUUAUAAUUAAAUUUUGAUUUUUAAUUCUAGGAUUUCAUCCAUAGUAUAUUGUUUAAUAUUAAUAUUGAUCUAAACUCGUUGCACCAUAUAACCCCGUCCCGUAAAAUUAAACAUCAUUUGUUAUUUUUUUGGAAUAAUAUUUUUAUCCACUACGGGUCGCAGGUUCAUGCGGAUAAGCCCGUAGAGAGUUGCGGGUUUGCGAGUCGACCCGCCAAAAGAGAAGUUUGAAACCCUUUGUUUUGUUUAGAGGUUUUAAGAAAAUAUUCCUAAAAAGUAAUUUUCAUUAUAUGAAAAAAAAGAAGUAGAAGAAAUUGUAGUAUCAACAUUCCCGAUUUUUACAUCACUCGUUACAAUUAGGUUUUUUUUUUUGCAGAUAAAAAUCAGAAGUUAACUAAGUCGAGAUUUUUAAAAAGAUUGUGUAGAGAUUUUUGGUAAAUUGUUGAGAACAUAUUUGAUUUCAAAAUCUUUAUUUAAAUAGAUAAAGAAAGAUUUUGUAGAGACUUUUGCUAAAUAUAUGAGAAAUGAAUUUCAAUUAAAAAUCUUUACUUAAAUAAAACAAAUCUAAAUAAUUAAUGCUAAUGGCAUGUCAUUGUAAAUACUUCUCAACUUCAGGAUUUAUUUGCUAAUUGUGAUCCAAAAAUGAAUAUAUAGAUUUAUACUUAUAAUAUCCAAAAUACCUAAAAUUACAAUCAUAAAUCCGAAUAUACUACGUAUUUUUGAAUAAUUCGGAUACAUUUGGAUAUAUUUGGUUAAAAAAUAACUAAUGAUGUAGUUUUCUUUUGGGUAGUUUUAGUAUUUUUAGAUAUUUUUGGUUAUAUUUGGGCAAAGAGUAACCAAUGUAUUUUUGAGAAAUCGGGUAUUUCGGUUAGAUUUGGGUAUAUACGAGCAAAAAACCCGAACCCGACCCGAACUCGAAAAUAUUUCAGGUAUUUUUGGUUAUUUUUGGGUAUUUUGCUUUUUUAUUAAAAUACCCGAACCGAACCGAACCCGAACAGAACCCAAACCAAACUCGAACCGAAUUUUUAGAAUACCCGAAUGGGUCUCGAUCCCCUACCCGAAUAGACUUGAUACCCAAAAAAAAAGAACCGAAUCCGAACGGGUACCCGAAUGCCCAGACCUACCUUUUUCUAAAGCCUUUUCCAAAUUUAUUAAGGAAAACAAAAGAAAAGUAUAGACCAAAGGAAAAAUUAGAUUGGAUACCAUAUUUUGUCCAAAAUUUAGGUCCAGUACCACUUUCGAAACUCAUUUAUCACUUAUAUCACAAUUGAGGUGUGUAAUGACCACUUUGCCCUUCCUUUUGUUUGCUCAAAUUUCGGGGACAAAAUUCAUAGUUUCAGCACACAAAAAGAAGUUUACAUACCAUUGUCCCCGAAGUUUGAGUUUCUCCAUAAUUUCAUCUUAUUUUUGCAUGUUUGCUGGUUUUUGUCCCUCAAUUUUAAUUCAUUAUUCUUGGAUUUUAGUAUGUAAACUCUAAUUGCGGUAUUUUCAUUUUGUUUGAUAUUUAUUAAUUUAGAUAAAGUUUUGUUUUACUUUUUAAGAAUAUGUGUUGAUCUAAAUAAAAUUAGAGAAAUUGUUUCUUAUAGCCCCAAAUCAAGUUUUUGGGACAAGAAUAUCAUUCAAAAGUUUAUUGGACAAAAAUAACACCUUAUUUUUUACUUUUUAAAUUAAUAAAAAAUUAUAAAUAAAUACAAAAAAUCACAAAUUCAUCGUUAAUAUUUUUCCGCCAAAACAAAAUUCCGUCAAAAUUUUCCCGCCAAAACAAAAUCCCGUCAAAAUUUUAUCAUACAUAUGUAGUUUUGAAUUAAAAUAUAUGAAAAUUAAAGAAGGAAUAAGUAUGUUCAAGUAACACAUUAGAAUAAAAAUAAAAUUGAUAACAAUCUAAGAUAUACACCAUAUAGUCUCUAAAAUAAAAUUUAGAAUCCAACCUUUACAAUGAUGUCUCAAUUGGUUUUUCAAUCCAUGCAACAACAUAAAAACAAAGAAAAUAUUUAGGAUUUGAGAUAUGGUGGAAGGAGAUGGGAGAAUUAUAGAAUGGAAUGUGAUGGAAGUUAUAUUUUAAAAUUAAUUAAUAUAAGAGUUACAAUUUGAAUUUAUAGUGGCUCUGACUGGUGAAAGUAAAAAGAAUAAAAAAUUCUUCUCAUUUCUUCUGGCCCUACACCUUUACUUUUUUUUGUUAUCAAAGAAACUUGUUAUGUUAUUUUACAGUAGAAAACCUUUUUCUACUAAAUAUUACAAAGAAGAAUUAUCCCGGUUUCCUCUGGUUUCUUUUCUUCUUUGUGUCUACCAGUCACACCCAGUAUGUUUGAAUGACAUUAAGUGAAGAAAAGUAUAGUUUCUAUACAGACUGCUCAUACCUGGUGAAGAUGGUGUUUUCCCCGACGGAGUGGCCAGCUUUUUCUACCUAUCUAGAGACUAUUCAGAGCGACAAGGAUGAGUUUGAUUUUUUCUCUUUAUCUUUGAUUUCUCGACGUGCAAAUUCAAAAGCGGAUAAUUUGGCACGAAAUGUUCGUAUCCAACCGCAUCUAAUUACCUAUGUAAAUAAUAUCCCCCAGAAUUAGCUUAUAUAAGCUAGUCUAAUGUUGUUGACAAAAUAUAUAUAUAUAUAUAUAUAUAUAUAUAUAUAAUUAGUACACAAUUUGUAUGAUGGUUACAAUAUAGUAUUAAAUGGUAGAUUAAUGUAUAUAAUAAAUAUGUUGUAUUUAUGGUUUAAUUAAAAAUAAAUAUUAUUAUAAUUUUUAUUUUUGAAAUAGUGAAUUGCUAAGUGGACUAAUAAAGAGAGAGUGAAACCUUAUAUAUAUAUAUAUAUAUAUGAUUUUGAUACAUGUGAUGUAACAUUGUGUAAUUGUAAAAUAACAGAAAAUAAAUAUAUAGUUUUUCUAUAGAAAAUAAAUUAAUAUUAUUUAAUAAAAUAUACAAGAAUAUUAAAAGUGGAUUUAAAAUUUGUAAGAAAGUUGUGACACAUUUUAAAUAUUAGUUUGAAGAAGUGACAUUUUCUUUUGUAAACUUUUUUUUUUACUUUCUGAUUAGGUUUUUUGUUCUUCACAUAUUGACAAAAACAAAUUUUCUAGUUUAUUAUGCUUAUGUUCUACUAAAGGUAAGCUCUUUGUUAAUUAUUUGAUGAUCAUAUUUACAAUAAACUAUAUUAAUAUGUUAAAAUGAAUUAAAAAGAAAACCAGUUUGGCAAAAAUAUACAAAACAUAAGCAUAAAAUAAGCAAAACAUACCAAAAAAAAGAAAAGAAAUUAUAGUUAUUUGAAAGUUAUUGCAAAAGUAAAUGGUAUUACAGGGUUUCCAUUGAAUGUUUUUUGUUUGUUAGAAUGAUCUAACAAUUGCGGUAGAAUUUCAAAUAAAAUAUGGGGCCAGUGAUGAACUCACAAUUUUCCAAUAGACGUUAUUCAAACUUUCAAAUUAAGAUGGUUAAAAAUUGGUUAGUUAUUUCUUCUUCUUCACAAAAAAUUUCAUUUUGACACUCUUUACACAAAUUAAAUAACAAGGUUAAAAUUUCUUUAUACCUUUAAAAUAUCUAUAUAAUUACAAUUUUUUACUUUAAUUUAUUUCAAUAUAAUUUUAUUGAGUAUUCUCAUAAACAUAUAUAAGUGUGCUAAAAAACAAAAAAUACUAAGUUGAUGCCGGUCAAGGUGUCUUUGUUACUCAACUUAUGCGCUUUCCAGUCGUUCAUCAACGCCAUCUGCUCAGCUACUAGCACAUUUUUUUUUUUUUUGGUAGGAAAGAGGGAGGCUUGCUCCCAUUUAUUAAAAUAAAACUAAAAAACAACUACGAGCGGACUCGUCUUGGGCGCGCAGACCCAAUCACGUCGUCGCUAAUUAAAGACUCGACAACAUCUGGAACAACAAUACAAGAAUGAAAGCCAAUAGGCAAAGAAAAAGCAUAGUUCGCUAACCCGUCGGCUAGACGGUUAGCCUCCCUAUACACGUGUGAAAUACGGACUAUCCAGUCCUUCGAUAAGAAGCCGUGGCACAAGCGUACCAGGAACGACAACGGGUGUCUCUCGCUCACCCCUGUCUUGAGGAAUCCAACUACCAACUCCGAGUCUACAUCCAACUCCACUCUCCGUAACUGCUUCUCCCAAGCAAUAUAGAGCCCGUAGUAUACGCCCCACAACUCCGCUAGUGGAGCCGUACACCUUCCUAUGUUGAGUGCAGAACCGCCACACCAACUUCCGAAUUCGUCCCGCAGCACUCCUCCCGCCGUGGCCAGUCCCGGAUUCCCUCGAGAUGCACCGUCAGUGUUCAGCUUAAACCACCCGGAUGGUGGCGCGCUCCAACCCACCAGAACUUCUAUUCUGCUUCCCCGUGGAAUAGCCUCCUUGAUUUUCAGAUUAGCCAAUGUCACCUCUUUAGCUUUCUCUUUUACAAAUCUUGUUCUAUCCCGACACUUCCCCUUGUUCCCAAAGACAUUAUCACACCUCCACUUCCAAGCCCACCAAACACCCAUCGCAAAAACCGUGGACCAAGUACUCUCAUAUAUGUCACCUUUGUCUCCUAAAUUCCCGUACACCCAUUCAAGAAGUGAUUGGUCAAAGAAGUCGCGUCUCCUCCGCUGCGGCACAAUCCGCUGCCAAAGGCCAAGCAUUGCAGGGCAAUCACGGAGAAUGUGAAUUAUUGUUUCAUAUCCGCCGUUACAUACUUGACACACCGCCGUGGUGCCAAGGUGUCUUCUAUAUCUCUCCGUGUUUGUCAUCAAUGCUUGAUUACCAACUAACCAUAAGAAAGUUCUUACUCUCUCCGGCGCCACCACUCUCCAAAUCCGGCCAUAGAAACCCGCAACAUCUGCUUUCGGGCUCUCAUUCUUUAUUAACAUAUUAAACGCAGAUUUAACUGAGAAUUCACCAUUCACACUCUUUCCCCAUGCCACACGAUCCCUAGCUCCAGUGACAUUAUCCAACACCACGGAGAGAAGCUCCAACCAUGUAUUCUCCGAGACAAAUGGUUUGAUCUUCUGCGUGUCCCACCCUCUUCCAUCUCUCCAUAAAUCUUUUACUAGAACGUCCUCAGUCCCCGGAGGUAACAGGCCCAGACUAUCAUUUACUAACCGCCUGUUUGCCAACCACUUGUCACUCCAAAACCGGAUCUGCCUCCCGUCUCCCAGAACCCAACUUAAACCCGGCAUCACCACCUCUUUCAUCCCCGUGAUAACACUCCGCCAAGUCGGCGACCAAGUGUUUUUCUUUACCAGCCAAGUACCAUCCCGUAGCUCACCCAUUUUAUACUUCUUUCUCAACAACUUGGCCCAUAAACUCUCAUGAUCCUGGAUUAAUCGCCAACUCAGCUUGGCUAUAAGCGCUUUAUUCAUGUCUUGCGCCUUCCUUUUUCCUAGCCCUCCCUCGGAUCUUGGAAUAGAAACUCGACUCCAAGAUAUUAAGUGUUGUUUCUUGUGUUCCAAGGUACUGCCCCAAAGGAAAGAUUUAGAAACUCGAUCCAACUUGGCCAAAAUGGACUGCGGUAGACAAAUAGUACUCAUGGCAUGAACCGGGAUCGAAGAUAACACUGCUCUUGUUAAUGUUAUACGACCCGCAAGACUUAGGAACCGACCCUUCCAACCCGAUAGUCUCGAAGAUAUUCUCUCCAGUGUCUCUCCGAAAGUAUCUUUAUUAAUCCUUUUUUGUAACACCGGCAUUCCCAAAUACUUGCCUAAAUCUCGUGUAGACUUAAUUCCACUCUCCUCACUAAUUAGCUUCCCCAAGUCUCUAGAUACAUUCUUAGAAAAAUAUAUCUUCGACUUCUCCAAACUAACUUUUUGGGAAAAUUUAGAAUCCAACCUUAUAUGGGAAGAUAUACACCAUAUAGUCUCUAAAAUAAAAUUUAGAAUCCAACCUUUACAAUGAUGUCUCAAUUGGUUUUUCAAUCCAUGCAACAACAUAAAAACAAAGAAAAUAUUUAGGAUUUGAGAUAUGGUGGAAGGAGAUGGGAGAAUUAUAGAAUGGAAUGUGAUGGAAGUUAUAUUUUAAAAUUAAUUAAUAUAAGAGUUACAAUUUGAAUUUAUAGUGGCUCUGACUGGUGAAAGUAAAAAGAAUAAAAAAUUCUUCUCAUUUCUUCUGGCCCUACACCUUUAUUUUUUUUUUGUUAUCAAAGAAACUUGUUAUGUUAUUUUACAGUAGAAAACCUUUUUCUACUAAAUAUUACAAAGAAGAAUUAUCCCGGUUUCCUCUGGUUUCUUUUCUUCUUUGUGUCUACCAGUCACACCCAGUAUGUUUGAAUGACAUUAAGUGAAGAAAAGUAUAGUUUCUAUACAGACUGCUCAUACCUGGUGAAGAUGGUGUUUUCCCCGACGGAGUGGCCAGCUUUUUCUACCUAUCUAGAGACUAUUCAGAGCGACAAGGAUGAGUUUGAUUUUUUCUCUUUAUCUUUGAUUUCUCGACGUGCAAAUUCAAAAGCGGAUAAUUUGGCACGAAAUGUUCGUAUCCAACCGCAUCUAAUUACCUAUGUAAAUAAUAUCCCCCAGAAUUAGCUUAUAUAAGCUAGUCUAAUGUUGUUGACAAAAUAUAUAUAUAUAUAUAUAUAUAUAUAUAUAUAUAAUUAGUACACAAUUUGUAUGAUGGUUACAAUAUAGUAUUAAAUGGUAGAUUAAUGUAUAUAAUAAAUAUGUUGUAUUUAUGGUUUAAUUAAAAAUAAAUAUUAUUAUAAUUUUUAUUUUUGAAAUAGUGAAUUGCUAAGUGGACUAAUAAAGAGAGAGUGAAACCUUAUAUAUAUAUAUAUAUAUAUGAUUUUGAUACAUGUGAUGUAACAUUGUGUAAUUGUAAAAUAACAGAAAAUAAAUAUAUAGUUUUUCUAUAGAAAAUAAAUUAAUAUUAUUUAAUAAAAUAUACAAGAAUAUUAAAAGUGGAUUUAAAAUUUGUAAGAAAGUUGUGACACAUUUUAAAUAUUAGUUUGAAGAAGUGACAUUUUCUUUUGUAAACUUUUUUUUUUACUUUCUGAUUAGGUUUUUUGUUCUUCACAUAUUGACAAAAACAAAUUUUCUAGUUUAUUAUGCUUAUGUUCUACUAAAGGUAAGCUCUUUGUUAAUUAUUUGAUGAUCAUAUUUACAAUAAACUAUAUUAAUAUGUUAAAAUGAAUUAAAAAGAAAACCAGUUUGGCAAAAAUAUACAAAACAUAAGCAUAAAAUAAGCAAAACAUACCAAAAAAAAGAAAAGAAAUUAUAGUUAUUUGAAAGUUAUUGCAAAAGUAAAUGGUAUUACAGGGUUUCCAUUGAAUGUUUUUUGUUUGUUAGAAUGAUCUAACAAUUGCGGUAGAAUUUCAAAUAAAAUAUGGGGCCAGUGAUGAACUCACAAUUUUCCAAUAGACGUUAUUCAAACUUUCAAAUUAAGAUGGUUAAAAAUUGGUUAGUUAUUUCUUCUUCUUCACAAAAAAUUUCAUUUUCACACUCUUUACACAAAUUAAAUAACAAGGUUAAAAUUUCUUUAUACCUUUAAAAUAUCUAUAUAAUUACAAUUUUUUACUUUAAUUUAUUUCAAUAUAAUUUUAUUGAGUAUUCUCAUAAACAUAUAUAAGUGUGCUAAAAAACAAAAAAUACUAAGUUGAUGCCGGUCAAGGUGUCUUUGUUACUCAACUUAUGCGCUUUCCAGUCGUUCAUCAACGCCAUCUGCUCAGCUACUAGCACAUUUUUUUUUUUUUUUGGUAGGAAAGAGGGAGGCUUGCUCCCAUUUAUUAAAAUAAAACUAAAAAACAACUACGAACGGACUCGUCUUGGGCGCGCAGACCCAAUCACGUCGUCGCUAAGUAAAGACUCGACAACAUCCGGAACAACAAUACAAGAAUGAAAGCCAAUAGGCAAAGAAAAAGCAUAGUUCGCUAACCCGUCGGCUAGACGGUUAGCCUCCCUAUACACGUGUGAAAUACGGACUAUCCAGUCCUUCGAUAAGAAGCCGUGGCACAAGCGUACCAGGAACGACAACGGGUGUCUCUCGCUCACCCCUGUCUUGAGGAAUCCAACUACCAACUCCGAGUCUACAUCCAACUCCACUCUCCGUAACUGCUUCUCCCAAGCAAUAUAGAGCCCGUAGUAUACGCCCCACAACUCCGCUAGUGGAGCCGUACACCUUCCUAUGUUGAGUGCAAAACCGCCACACCAACUUCCGAAUUCGUCCCGCAGCACUCCUCCCGCCGUGGCCAGUCCCGGAUUCCCUCGAGAUGCACCGUCAGUGUUCAGCUUAAACCACCCGGAUGGUGGCGCGCUCCAACCCACCAGAACUUCUAUUCUGCUUCCCCGUGGAAUAGCCUCCUUGAUUUUCAGAUUAGCCAAUGUCACCUCUUUAGCUUUCUCUUUUACAAAUCUUGUUCUAUCCCGACACUUCCCCUUGUUCCCAAAGACAUUAUCACACCUCCACUUCCAAGCCCACCAAACACCCAUCGCAAAAACCGUGGACCAAGUACUCUCAUAUAUGUCACCUUCGUCUCCUAAAUUCCCGUACACCCAUUCAAGAAGUGAUUGGUCAAAGAAGUCGCGUCUCCUCCGCUGCGGCACAAUCCGCUGCCAAAGGCCAAGCAUUGCAGGGCAAUCACGGAGAAUGUGAAUUAUUGUUUCAUAUCCGCCGUUACAUACUUGACACACCGCCGUGGUGCCAAGGUGUCUUCUAUAUCUCUCCGUGUUUGUCAUCAAUGCUUGAUUACCAACUAACCAUAAGAAAGUUCUUACUCUCUCCGGCGCCACCACUCUCCAAAUCCGGCCAUAGAAACCCGCAACAUCUGCUUUCGGGCUCUCAUUCUUUAUUAACAUAUUAAACGCAGAUUUAACUGAGAAUUCACCAUUCACACUCUCUCCCCAUGCCACACGAUCCCUAGCUCCAGUGACAUUAUCCAACACCACGGAGAGAAGCUCCAACCAUGUAUUCUCCGAGACAAAUGGUUUGAUCUUCUGCGUGUCCCACCCUCUUCCAUCUCUCCAUAAAUCUUUUACUAGAACGUCCUCAGUCCCCGGAGGUAACAGGCCCAGACUAUCAUUUACUAACCGCCUGUUUGCCAACCACUUGUCACUCCAAAACCGGAUCUGCCUCCCGUCUCCCAGAACCCAACUUAAACCCGGCAUCACCACCUCUUUCAUCCCCGUGAUAACACUCCGCCAAGUCGGCGACCAAGUGUUUUUCUUUACCAGCCAAGUACCAUCCCGUAGCUCACCCAUUUUAUACUUCUUUCUCAACAACUUGGCCCAUAAACUCUCAUGAUCCUGGAUUAAUCGCCAACUCAGCUUGGCUAUAAGCGCUUUAUUCAUGUCUUGCGCCUUCCUUUUUCCUAGCCCUCCCUCGGAUCUUGGAAUAGAAACUCGACUCCAAGAUAUUAAGUGUUGUUUCUUGUGUUCCAAGGUACUGCCCCAAAGGAAAGAUUUAGAAACUCGAUCCAACUUGGCCAAAAUGGACUGCGGUAGACAAAUAGUACUCAUGGCAUGAACCGGGAUCGAAGAUAACACUGCUCUUGUUAAUGUUAUACGACCCGCAAGACUUAGGAACCGACCCUUCCAACCCGAUAGUCUCGAAGAUAUUCUCUCCAGUGUCUCUCCGAAAGUAUCUUUAUUAAUCCUUUUUUGUAACACCGGCAUUCCCAAAUACUUGCCUAAAUCUCGUGUAGACUUAAUUCCACUCUCCUCACUAAUUAGCUUCCCCAAGUCUCUAGAUACAUUCUUAGAAAAAUAUAUCUUCGACUUCUCCAAACUAACUUUUUGCCCAGACGCCUUGCAAAAUGUUUCCAAGAUCCUCCUUAAUAUUCGAAUUUGCGAGACAGAAGCUUCCGCAAAUAAAAUAAGAUCAUCCGCAAAGCAUAUAUGGGAGAGUUUUGGUCCUCCCUGCGAAAUACUAAUCGACUUCCACUCCUUCUCGUAGACAGAUCUAUUGAUCAUAUGGCAUAAUCUCUCCAUACACAACACAAAGAGAUAUGGAGAGAGCGGAUCUCCUUGCCGGAGUCCCCGCAUAGGCUGGAAAGAGUCGGUUUUCUCACCGUUCCACAAAAGAUUCAUAGACGGACCCGAAACACAACGCAUUAUCCAUCUAGUCCACUUCUCCGAUAAACCCGCGGCUACCAGUGUGUCCUCCAGAAAGUCCCAGCAAAUUCGAUCAUACGCUUUUUCCAGGUCCAGCUUCAACAACAUCCAACCUUUUCGUCCUUUCUUGCGACGCAUGGAAUGAACCGCUUCUUGGACUACCACAAUAUUAUCCACACUUAACCGUCCUGGAAUAAAACUCGCUUGGUACGGUCCAACCAAUUUAUCCAUUACACAUUUCAACCGCCCCACCAUAGUCUUUGUAAUGAUUUUGAACAACACAUUACAAAGACUAAUCGGUCUGAAUUGUGUAAUCCUCUCUGGUUUAGCUAUCUUCGGUAUUAGCACUAGCAGUGCAUUAUUUGUAUCUCGCGGUAACACACCCGAAUCAAAAAAGUCCAGAACGAAUUUAAGCAUCGAUUCUCCAACCACUUCCCAACAAUCUUGGUAGAAAACGGGCUGAAACCCAUCCGGACCCGGUGCCUUAAACUUCCCCAUAGACUUCACCGCCUUGACGACCUCAGCUCUCCCAAACGGUUUGUUCAACUCCCGGAUCUCAUGACUAGCUAUUCUCGGGAAACCAAGUUGCGGUAGUGACUCCACCACCUGCUCCACAUCAUCUAGAGAGUAUAAUCUCUUGUAAUAAUUAGUGGCCAACUGCUCAAGUUCUGAAGGCUCAGAAACCCAUACUCCCUCAUCCGAUUUCAGCAACUCAAUUUUAUUUCUCCUUCUCCGUAUCACCGUAGAGAUAUGGAAAAACUUCGUGUUACGUUCCCCUAACGCAACCCAUUUCUCCCUAGACUUUUGGAACCAGAGCAUUUCUUCUUGUUCUAAGACCACCUCAAACUCCUUAAGUAGCUCAUCCUCUCGGGUUAGCAAUGCAUCUGUCGGGCUAUGCUCAAGAAGAUCAUGUAUCACCGUGAUCUCGCCCAUGAGCUUCUCUUUCCGUAACUGCACAUCCCCAAACACCUCCUUAUUCCACCUUCGCAGAGUUAUUUGUAACUGAUCCAAAGCUUCCGGAGUUGAAAUAUCACUAUUCCAAGACGAAGUUAAGAGAUCUUUGAAACCGGAGUGACUCAACUACGCAGCCUCAAACCGAAACGGCCUUCUCUUAGGAUUCCCUUUCACCUCGGGCUCCAAUUGGACGUAUAACGGCGCGUGAUCCGACGCCAAAUAAGGGAGAUGUGUUACCACUGCUUCCUGCCACUUCAGCCUUGCUUGCGGGCAACACAAUACUCGGUCUAAGCGCUUAGCCACAUACCACCUUUCAUCCCGUCCCCUUCUCCAUGUAUAUUUACUCCCUCGAAACCCCAUAUCGAUGAGAGACUGACCACUGAUCCAGUUUCCAAAAGCUAGAGAAUCAGGUGACAAUUUUCCAUUUCCCCCUGUUCUAUCAUCUAGUCUUACAAUCGUGUUAAAGUCGCCUCCCACCAACAGCGGACCAUCAACACUUCCAAUUACCUCACUAAGCCGGCUCCACAGUCCACUCCUCCGACUGACCGAUGGAGCUGCAUAGACAACAAUUAGGUGCCAUACUUCUUGGUCCCUUGUUAUCUUCGCGUGAAUAAACUGCUCCGCAGCUUCAACUAUCUCCGCCAGACCCGUUUCAGCUCUCCACAGCAGCCAUAGUCCCCCACUCUGUCCCGCAGCAUCAACACAAAAAGACUGAUCAAAGCCCAACCCUUGACAUAUACGCAUUGCUCUCUCACCGCCAGCAUGCGUUUCAAACACCGCUAAGAUAUCAGUCCUGAAUUUCUUCAAAAUGUAUCGAAUAGAACAUCUAAAAUUGGGUUUAUUUGCCCCCAGGCAAUUCCAUAAGAUGCAAUUCGUCAUAUCUUCAUAUAAAUAAUAAGGAAAAACCGGGGAACCGUGCUAUGCCUUCUCGGAGUUCUGUUCAUGAGGAACCCCUGUACCCAGCCUCGCGAUCUCCAUCUGUCCUGAACCGCCACCCAUGUUCUGGACUAACAACCGCUCUCCUUCUCUAGGUACUGUCCCCGAGUCUCCAUUAUCCGUCCGACUACCAUUCUCAGCCAUGAACACCCCUCCUCAUCGACCAAGGCUGCGAUUUGCAACUCUGAGUCUCUUCCCCGAGUUUAUUAAUUCCCUCUCUUCACUCAUAGGCCCAAAAAUCAAUCCUCGUGUGGGCCUAUUUUGUUUCAUAAUUUUGGGCCUAUGCCUCUUCUGUUCAACAGGCUUAGAUACUCUGGCCCGUUCAUCCUGCUUAGGCCCACCCGACACAUUCUUUUCAAAACCCCGACCCGCGCCAAAUACCACCUCCUUGCCUUGCGCCCCAAUAUCCGCCCCUUUGCUCUGAUUCCCAAAAUGCUCAUUUUCCUUAUUUGCACCCGAAAUCAAUUCACUCCCACCAAUACCGGAAACUACCAUAUCCUCUACCAGAUUUCCAAAUCUGUUGGAUGUCGCAAUAUUCCCAGAAUCCUUCUCUUUAGUGAUAUCCCGCAGAUUCCGGCCCAUCACCGUAUUCAAGCUCACCGUCGACCCACCCGUAUCCUUCACCGGUCUCCUGCCAUUCCGCUUAACCAACAUAAAACCCUCAUCACCAUGUUUCUCGUUGAUUGUAGAUGGCUUCACUGCCUGUUGGAUUACGGGCACCACCACGGAAUUCUCCACAACUUUUUUAGGACAAGCAUGGACCAAAUGCCCAUAUAGACCACAUAGGGAGCAUAUGUUUGUCAGACCUUCAUACGCCACAUAGUAUCGCUCCCCAUUCACCAUGACUGUCCCUUUGAGAGGUUUCUGCAAGUUCACUUCCACACACACCCGCGCGAACCUGGCUCUCUCAAAGUUAAGCGUUGUCAAGUCAACUUUGAUCGGUUUUCCCAACCCUCGAGCAAUCCCCAUCAAGAUUGAUCUAUGAUAAAAAUUGACCGGAAUAUUGGAUAACCGAACCCACACCGGCGUUGUCGUAAUCUCAUCACGUAACGGAUCAAACUCCGGCGUCCAAGCUUGAACCAUUAAGUAGCUCCCAAAAACUCUCCACGGACCUCCCGUUAGAGCAGCCAAGUACUCUUCCUCCUCAUCAAACCUGACCAUAAAGAAGUGACGCGGCAAGUCCAUCACGUGCAUCGCUCCCUUUGGCUUCCACAGCUCCCUUAAUUUCCUACUAACCACCGAAAUCGAGAUGUUCCUCCCCAACACUUUAACAAUCAUACAUCUCUUCCACAAACCGUUCAUAGCCUCCAACAUUUCCCUCCCAAUCGUUAUAACCGGUUCGCCAUCAUCCCCAUUCGGAAACUCCAACUCCAUCCGCUCAGCCACAAACUCAUCCUUCAACACACUCUCCGGUCUCACCAUUCCACCGCCAACAUUCCCUACCACCUUCUCCACCCAGGACCGCCGGCCAUCUGGUGGAUCCUCCGGGGGUCGAUCCCUGUCUCCCGUGUCCAUCACGAUGUCCUCGUGAGCCGCCACCGAAGAAACCCUAGAAUCGCCCUCGCUCUCCAUCUCCAUUUCUCUGAAAUUAUUCCCUAGCUACUAGCACAUUUCGGUAAGUGUUAUCUUUUUUCAUUAGAUACAAUUUAAAACUGAUGAUUCUAAUAAUGUUUAUUUUCUUUAAUAGGUACCAAAUGAUCUUGGUUUCGUCGUUAGAGUGCUUGAGAUUGCAUCAUGCUCGGUCCAGACGGAAUGGGCAGAAAUGCAACCGCAUAAAGCUCAGCAUUUUAAAAAUUUCUUAUAAAAGAAACUCCAAUUUAUUUUAAAAAAUUAGAUUUUGGUCAAGAAAUUCGAUUUUAGUAUAUUUGGGCCAAUAAUUUAAAGUUUUAGGAUAAAUCUAUUAAAAAUAGGCCCAUUAAUUUAUACAGAUGUGGCUCUAGACAGUUACUUCUUAAUUUAUACACCAAUUCACCAUUUAUAUAUAUUAAGAAUUUCACAAUUAAUGUAGCAUGUUUUCGUUUUCCUCAUUAGAUGGGCCUAUUUAAGGAUUAAGGAGUAAACUUUUGUGGUAUCAAACCCAAGAUGUUGAAAGAUGCAGACUAUGGCUGCAAACCCCAACAUUUCAAGAAACGCAAGCACAGAAACGGACAGCCAGAUCAAGAAAAGCUGGCUAAUAGGUUUGCAUUGUCCCGGUUCAUGUUUACAGCUUCGAAGAACCGAACAAUAUCGAAUAAUAGGACAAAGAAGAUCAAGAUACUAUCCUCAAACACAAGCUGGGUUAUUCUUCAUCUUUCAUCUACCUUAAGGCAACAAGAUAAAGUUCAAUACUUUAAAUUGCAAAGAGCAGGGUUUGAUUGAGCUAAUUAACAUGACCAGAUCUGAAACAGCAUCCACUUACUGAAACUGUUAUUCAUAUUUUGCUACUACUACUCAAAGUUCUCACUAAAUUUUUGUAAUCAAACAAGAAGGUUAAACCAUCCUCUGUAAUAGUUGCAAUAGAUUAACCCUUUAACAAAAAUAACAAAAAACAUCGAAAACAAAUAUAGAACCCAAGAUCAAAUUAUAGUAAACUACAAUCUCUUCUCCAAUUCAUCAUAUAGAACCCAAUAUCAAAUGGGUAAAACCACACAGAACACACUGUAGUAAAGUGAAGCUUCUCAAAACUAGGAAUUAAGUCUUCACCUUUCAUUGACCUCAAUUCAACAAGAUAUCAAGUUCAACACUAUAAAUUGCUUAAAAGCAUAGUUUGAUUGAACAUAUGAACAUGACCAGAAUCUGAAACAGCAUCCACUCAUCAAGUUCUCACUACAAGUUUUCAUAAUCAGACCAAAAAAGGUCAAACCUUCCUCUGUUGAGUUGCAAUUGAAAGCAAAUAUGCAUAUCUCUCACAUCUCACUGGCAGAUCAAGUAAACUACAAUCUCGUCUUAGAUUCAUCAUAUAAACACGACCAGAUCUGAAACACAAGCUGGUUUUAAUCUUGACCCUUUCAUCUACCUCAAAACAACAAGAUAAAGUUCAUCACUUUCAAUUUCUAAGAGCAGAGUUUGAGCUUAUGAACAUGAAUAGAUACGAAACAGCAUCCACUUACUAAAACUGUGAUUCAUAUGUAAGCAAGAAGAGCACUGAAACCAAGAUAAACAUAUCCCUCACAUAUUCUCAUUGGCAAACUAAGUAAAACAACAAUCUCUUCUCCAAUUCAUCAUAUAGAACUCAAGAUCAAAUUGAUUAAACCACACAGAAUAGUGAAGUGAGCUAAUUAAAAACUACGAAUCAAGAUUCAUUCCUCAACACAAGACAGAUUAAAUCUCCACCUCUCAUCUAUCUCAACUCAACAAGAUAUAAAGUUCAACACUUUCAAUUGCUUAAAAGCAGAGUAUGAUCAAGUAGUUAAUGAACAUUGACAAACCAAGUAAUACUACAAUGUCUUCUUCAAUUCAUCAUAUAAAACCAAAAGAUCAAAUGUUACAAAAACCACCAUUGUAGUAGCUAACUUAACAAUAAAAACAAGAACAAGAGAGAAAACUCUAACCUUACAAAGCAAAGCUCUUAAGAAAAUCAGGAUCACGUUUAGCUUUCUCCUGAAACUUCUUAAACCAACGAUCCAAAAUAUCCAUAGGAACAACCAAUUUACUUCCAUCAACACCACAAAAAGACUGCAUAAAGUUAAACAAAUUCUCUCCAACUUUCAUAGCUAAUUUCUCAAUCCUCCUCUCCGCCACAACAUCCAACGACCUCAACGCCGUUAUAUCCUCAACCGAAACACCGAUUUUCGCUGAUAAAGAACUCGAAUCACCCGCCGUGAGUUGCAUCUGAGCAGCACUACCAGGUUCAGGCCAUUGAAGAGACAACACAGCUGAUGGUCUAGCUAAAGUAACAGCACCACAGAAGACAAAAGCUGAUCCUGGAGAUUGGAGAUAAACAGCUAAAGCUUUAUCUGGUGGAAGAUUGAAAUUGUUUAACAAGAAGAUACACAUCUCUGAGAUUUGAUCAUAUGCUUCACCUGUAAGAAAGAUAAAGAUUGGAUUUUUCGAUUAGGGUUUUUGAUUUUGGGAAUUAGGGUUUUGAAAAGUUUGGUUUUUGGGAGAUGGGUACUUACCGACGAAGUGGUUCAUGUCCAGAACCCAGUGGAAUGUGUCGAUUUGAGUGAAGGUUGAGAUGUCGAGUGGGAAACUUCGAUUGGGGAAGACGACUCCGAACAUUGUUGAUGUUUAGGGUUUUUUUUUUAGGAAUUUUGAUUUUUUUAUUGUGAGUGAGUGUUUUGAAGUUGUGUUGGUGAUGGACUGAUGAAGAAGAUUGAGAGAAUUGAGGAUGAUUCUAGAAGAUUUGAGAAAGAGCUAAUGUAGUUUCUGCACGAAGACUUUUUUUUUGUGUGGGUGUGUGAGUGAGUGACCACAUAAAAAAAAGAUUUGACAAUUCUUUUCUAGUAAGAAAAAUAAACCAAAAGACUAAAUUGUAAGAGAAUUUAAUUUACCUAUAGAUGAGAAAAAAAAAGAAGGAAAUUUAGCUAAAUAUAUAUUGUUUUCUAUUUUUAUCAAACUAAAAUAGUAUACCUCCCUUGAUUUAUUGGUUGGCUAAGGGUUAAUUAAUGAUUUUACACCAAGAGGUCUGAUGUUCGAAUCCCAUAUAUUGCGAUUUAUUAACAAAUUUGCAGAAUAAUGGAGUCAAGUGUGUAAGAGAUAACAAAUUUGCAGAUUAAUAAAGACAAGUGUGCAGAUUAAUAAAGACAAGUGUGCAAGAGAUCUCUAACUAUAUACAAUUAUAGCCGUUCGUCAGGAAUCUACGCAGAAAAUGAAGUGUCAUCAUUGAAUGUGUCCAUCAGACAGAAUCGAUGCAAACCGAAUUACCAAUAUGGUUUAUUUACAUGCAUAUAAGAAAUAUUUUGUUCAUGUAAACGUUUUCAAAUUAGAAAAUAGGAUCAUUUGUUGUCUUCUUCUUCAUUUUUCUUUAGAAUCUUUUGUGCUUAAAACCAUUUUGUGAAUAUAUUUGCUAAACUUUAAUGAAGUAAUAAAAAAAACUUACUUGUACUCAUCUUACAAGACUAAGAACAAGAAAUGAUCUUCUCUCUACUUAAAAAGAUUAAUGUUAUUUACACGUUUUGCAUAAAGAGACAAAAGUCACGUGAACCAAUGACUUUUCUUAUAAGUUCACUCGUUUGAAAUUUUGUUUACUUUGCAAAGAAACUUCUCAUUUCUUUCUCUCACCAUAAGCUUUGCCUUAUAUAAGGCUCCAUAAAAUUAAAGGCUUUAAUAAAAGAGAAUUUAUAGUAAAUAGCCAUGGAUUUAAAAAGAAUUAAGAAAAUAGCCAUGAGUUAUAGUACUUUGUCUGUUGGAUGUCGGAAAGCACGUGUAAUUACACACAUACCCUUUAUAACAUGUUUUUUUCUCGAAUUACAUGUGAUAGAAUAAUAUAUCUCUUUUUAUCAUAUUAUUUUCCGGUUUUACACGUUAUUUAUAAAGAGCACAUGAUAUUUUUUGAAAAAACACUCUAUUCAGUUUAAUAUCUUUCUCUAUCAUGUUAUUUUAUAGUAAUACACGUUUUAUAUUAUGAUCACAUGUGAUUUUCUAUAAAAAAGAUUCUUAUUUUCUAGUAAUUCACGGUUUUUAUUAAGAUCACAUGUUAUUUCUUUGAAGAAAAAACACUCUAUUCAGUUUAAUAUCUUUCGCUAUCAUGUUAUUUUGUAGUAAUACACGUUUUUUUAUUAUGAUCACAUGUAAUUUCUUUAAAAAAACGAUUCUUAUUUUCUAGUAAUUCACGGUUUUUAUUAAGAUCACAUGUUAUUUCUUUAUAAAAAGAUUCUAUUCAAGUUUAAUUUUUCCGUAACAAUGUUUUUUAAAAAAAAAACACUAUGUAACAAUGUUUUUUCUUAAAAAUUCACUACGUUUUUUUAAAUAGCAUGUAUUUUAGUUAAAUAUAACAUGUGAAAUUUAGAUCUUACGUGUUAUUUUGAAAAAUAUCACGAAACAAUGUCGCCUACUGUAGAUCUCAAAACAAACGGAGGAUGGUUUUGUUAUUGGAAAAUACUUGGGUUCACGGUUCACCCCUAGGGGUGAACCUCUCUAUUCACCUCCUCAUUUUUUAACCAAUAAAAUUAUGACAUGUGAUAUUAUAUUUAAAUAAAGUAAUAAACUAAAUCUAAAAUCAGAAAAACAAGGAAACAAAACUUUUACAUAAACUAACGUCAAUGUUGACGUCUUAUUUUGACGUUAAGUACCUUUUUUAAUAUCAUUUAUUUUAUAGAGAGAUAUAGAUUAAGGUUGGAUGUAUAUCUUUGUAUAAAAUAAAAAAAUAUUUGGGUUUAUUAUUAGAGAUGAGUCUUUUUAUUUAUCUCUUUUUUCUAACCAAUUAAAAUACUGAUAUUUUAUUUAAUUAUUUGUAAAAUUUAGUCUGCUACCAAAACGCAGUUACAUAUCAGUUUGGAUUUAUAAAGAAGAGUUAGGAUAUAUAUUUUAUGAUUAAACGAAGUCAAAUAUUGGUUUAGGUUUAUAAACGCAUUUAGAUUUUACAAUUAAACAAGUUUAAAUAUUGGUUUAGGUUUAUACAAACGGUUAGGAUUUAAAUUUUAUAAUUAAACGAGGUUAAAUAUCGGUUUGGGUUUAUAAAGAACGGUUAGGGUUUAGAUUUUAUAAUUAAAUGAGGUAAAUAUCGGUUUGGAUUUAUAAAGGAGGAUUAGGGUUUAUAUUUUGUAAUUAGACGUGAUUAUAUGUCGGUUUGGGUUUAUAAAGGAUGAUUAGGGUUUAUAUUUUAUAAUUAGACUUGAUUAUAUGUCGGUUUAGAUUUAUAAAAGAGGAGUUAGGGUUUAGAUUUUAUAAAUAAAUGAGUUUAAUUUUUUAUUUUAAAUGACAUAUUAUGAUUGGUUAGAGCAUCCUCAUUGGUAACUCUCUUAAUUUGGAAUCCUAAACUAAUAAAUAUUAAUAUUUUAAUAUAAUUCAAUUAUCUAUUUAAAAUUAAAUAUGUAAAAGAAAAUUAUACCAUUCAAGAGUUGGCAUAUGUCCAUGAAGACUCUUAAAGAAGGAUUUAUGGGUCCUUAAAGAAGGAUUCUUCACCUUCUUUCUCCAAAUUUUUAAUAUUUUAUUAUUAUUUUUGAGAGAAACCCACGUUUAAAUCCUCCUGGGAUGGUCUUAGAAACUUAAGGUGAAUAAAAACCCAAAAUUGUUUAUAAAAUAAAUUGUAUUAAAAAAAGAUGUUUGUAACGUCAACGUUGACGUUAAGUAAAUAUAGAUUUUGUUUCAUUUCUUUUUUUUUCCUGACUUUAAAUUUAUUUGUUUAUUUUGUUUAAAUAUAAUAUGACAUGUCAUAUUUUUAUCGGUUAAAGAAAGAAGAGGUGAAUAAAGAGAUUCACCCCUAGGGGUGAACCCAAGUUUUAUUCUUUGUUAUUUCACCUCUUCAGACAAAGUGGGUCCAUGCUGUUUUCCGACAGAAUUUUUUCUCUCUCUGCUAGUUUCUUAAUUUAUGUGUCAAAUUUGGCUAGUUAGUAAUAUUACCCUUAAUAAAACACCUCUUUUAUCAAAAAAAAAAAAAAUAUAAAAAAAACACAUCUCUUUAAAUCUGUGAUUUUGAACCACUCAUGGAUGCUUCUUUUUCUUCUUCUUGCAUCUGGAGAUACAACACUUUCGCGAGCUUCCAUGGACCAGAUGUCCGCAAAACAUUUCUUAGUCAUUUGCGAUAACAGUUUAACUCCAAUGGAAUUACAAUGUUCAAUGAUGAAAGGAUCGAGAGAAGCCAAACCAUCGCCCCUGCUCUCACACAGGCGAUUAGAGAAUCGAGGAUAUCCAUCGUCGUGCUCUCGAAGAACUAUGCUUCAUCCAGCUGGUGUCUUGAUGAGCUAUUGGAGAUUUUGAACUGCAAAGAAAACGCAGGACAGAUAGUGAUGACAAUCUUCCACGGAGUAAAUCCAUCUGAUGUGCGCAAACAAACCGGAGAAUUUGGGAUCGCUUUCAAAGAAACUUGUGCUCGUAAAACAAAGGAGGAGAUGAUAAAAUGGACCCAUGCUUUGAACUUUGUGGGCAACAUAGCUGGAGUACACGUCCAAGACUGGUUUGUGUUUAAUACAGUUUAUCUUUCUUCUGAUAGAAUAGAAUUGAAAUCAUUAAGGGAAUGUUUUUUAUGAACGGGUAUUAGAAUUUCUUGUUGAAUGAAUUAUGCAUAUUGGAGAUAGAUGUAGGGGUGGGCUUUGCGGUUUUUCGGUUUAGUUUUAUGGUUUUACAAAAACUGAAACCAUAUAUAAACCGUAUGUGAUUCGGUUUGGUUACGGUUUGGUUUUCAUGAUUUUUCGGUUUUAUAAAAAUUAAAUAAAAAUUUGGUUUCGGUUUGGUUCUGAUUUUUAUAGAUUAUUCCAUGUUUUUACAAAAAAAAAUAUAUAAGUUUGAUGCAUAAAUAAAAGUAAACGUAGUAUAAAAUAUAAAAUAUCAAUAAUUAUAAAUUACUCAAAGAUCUAUAAUUAUAAGCCUAAUAAAGAAAAAAUUUAAUGAUACUAUUAUUAAUCACAAUAAAAACCAGACGAUAUAACUACACAUAAUUAUCCUUAAUUUUAAUCAAAAACCAAAAAAACAUUCGCUUUUACGGUUUCUGACCAAACGAAAUCUAAACCGAAAACAUAAUAAAAGUAACAAGCAAAUGAAUUUUCAAGCUAAAUCAUAACCAAAUCAAAUCAUUUAUUUCAGUUUGGUUCGUUUCUUGGGUUACGAUAUUUUUGCCUACCCCUAAAUAAAUUUCUAAAACUACAUGAAAAUUCCAUAAAAAUACACAAACAAAUUAUAAAUACCUUAAAUAAAUUUUUUCUUCACUUAUCCUUACACAUACUUUUAAAUUGUAUCCAUUUAACAUCCAAAAGUUGAUGGCCGAAAGUAACAUGUUAUCGAUAAAAUAGUUGGUGAAUAGAGGAAUGUUAUCUUUAUGGAAUUUCUUUUCUCAUGAUUGUUUCUUAGGGACGACGAAGCAAAAAUGAUCGAGAAGAUUGCAACCGAUGUCUCAAAUAAACUGAAUGCUACAGAGUCGAAGGAUUUUGAUGACAUAGUGGGACUUAAAGCUCAUUUGACGGAAAUUGAGUCUUUGCUAUAUCUAGACUAUGAUAAAGUUAAGAUGGUUGGAAUCUCUGGUCCGGCAGGCAUUGGUAAGAGUACCAUUGCUAGAGCCUUACAUAGCCUACUCUCAAGCAGUUUUCAUCAUAGUUGUUAUAUGGAAAACCUUAUAGAAAGCAAAGCCAAUAGUGCUCUAGAGUAUCGUUCGAAAUUGAGUUUACAAGAGCAGCUUCUUUCGCAAGUUUUGAACCUAAAGGACAUUAGGAUACGCCAUUUAGGUGCGAUACGCGAAAGGCUACACGACCAGAGGGUUCUUAUCAUUCUUGAUGACGUGAAGGAGGCAGAGCAACUAGAGGUUUUGGCUGAUAUCAAGUGGUUUGGUCCUGGAAGUAGGAUCAUAGUGAUCACUGAAAACAAAGAUAUUUUGCUGCAACAUGGUAUAUGUGAUAUAUACCAUGUGGGUUUUCCAUCACAAGAAGAUGCUCUAAAGAUCUUUUGUCUAUAUGCUUUUAGACAAACCUCUCCACCUGAUGGAUAUAUGAAACUUCAUGAAUGUGAAAUGGUUGUAAAAUAUUGUGGCAGUCUUCCAUUGAAUCUACAUGUUUUGGGGACGGCGUUUCGGGGAAGGAGUGAUGAUGAAUGCAAUCUUGGUGUAAUAGGAUUUAUCUAUCUUAGUUUAUCUGAGAAAAGCCAAGCUCUAUUUGACUACUUAAUUCGAUGCUCUGCUCUAGAAAAUGGCAGGGAAACUGAUGAGCCUCCUAGUGGUGAUCUAACUAAGAUUCUAGCAGAUCUUGGCGAGGAAAUUGGUGAUGAUCUAGAUAUUGAACUGGUAAGUCUUCUUAUUUGAGCGGUCUUGAGUUUUACCAUCUUUUUUUGAUGUUGUUUUAAGCAAAUAUCUGACCACUAACAAGUUAUGUUUUGGAAUAUUUGUUAGGGUCAAAUAUAUGAACUUGCCUACCAUGCGUCGCAAACCGCAACAAGAAUCUUGGGAUAGGAUGAAUCCCUUUUUUUUUUUACUUUGAAUCCUUUUUUUUAUUCAUUUAAAUUGUAAUAUGGCGUCACUUACUGUAUAUAGUAGAAGUUUGAAAUAUGUAUUUUUUGAAAAAAAAAUAUUUAUGAAACUUUUAUGGGAUUUGUUUUUUUAAAAAAAUUUCGAAACUAAAUAAAGACUCUAGUAGGAUAGACUCUAAAAUUUGUUAUCAACAUUGUUUUUUCAAUUUUCAUAAAAGAAGGAAGAGUAUUUUCAUUGAUUUAUAGUCUUGACAUUUUUAAAUGUGCUUUUUCAUACACCGUUCUAUAUUCUUUUCGUUGUUUUAUGAACAAAAACAUAUAUGUAAAGAGACUAUAAUUUAGAACUUGUCCAUCUAUACUAUUAAUUGAGAAGCAUUAAAUAAUAAAUAACCUUAUAAAGGGUAAAGAAUUACAAAGAAUGCCAUUAGUAUUUUAAUAACUGAAGAACAAUUUGAAACGAAAUUAAAAGGACAAAAUAGUCAAGGCAACUUAACAAAAAAAAAAAAAGGACGCGGAUCUAUGACCCGAUUUGGGGAGUACUCGGAUCUUCUGAAUUUUAGGAGCAUCGACUGCAGACCCGCAUAUCCGGUUCAACAACUUUUAUCACCGAAACCUGCAAAAGAGAGCAGCAAAUCAGAACCAUGUAUAUAUUAUCGAUUUUUAGUAACUAACAUAACUAUUGAAUAUUGAAUAUAAGAUACAAUAUUCCAAAUCAAAACAUAACAAUUAAUGAUUUUUCCAAAACAAACUUUCCCUAUAUAUCAUAACCGGAUUAUUAGGAGCAUAUUCCUAUAAUCAGGAUUUAGGAGCAUAUUCCUAUAAUCAAAAUUGUUAAUUACAUUUUUUAAAGAUUUUAAUAGAGUUGUUCUUAUCAAACCUAAACAGUAACAAUGCAUAACCGAUUUCUUUAGCUUAUAAAUAGAGAAUCCGAGCUCAUCCUUCUAAAACCACAUACAAAACUCCAAAUCUAUAUACCUUUAUAACUUUAGAUCUUCCGUUUUUAUUAUUGUUAUUGUUGUCGUUGAGUUUUUAACUCCGACCCUUUUAUCUGUAUCUUCCUCCUCUAUUGGAGUUUCUUCCUCCUCUAAUGGAGUGUAAACCUAUUAUCUAAUAGAUGAUUAAGUUCUUCCUAGAUAAAGCAUUAGAAGAUGGUAGACAAAGUAAUCGUUUAAUUUUCAUAAGAACCUUGAAGGAACAUAUGGAAAUUGAAAAACCUUAUCGACGAUGGUGAUAGUUAUGUAAGGACCUUUGCUUCUUUCCAUAGUCACGAAAUAAAUUAAACCAAACUUUUUUUUGGAUUCUCACCAAUCCAAGAGACUGAUGCUGAACACAUCAUUUGCUUGCAAAAGCCAAAGUCAAAGUCACAAUUCACAAAUUUAGAGCUGAUUGUGUUCUUCAUUGAUAGAAUUUUCACAUAGACUUAACAAAAGACUAAAAAAAUAAUAAACAAAAACAAAAUCAUUCAUUCUAAAUAUCAAAAACUUUAACCAACCUAUUUCCUAAAUUUAAUCUGCAAAAUAAGAAUUCAGAGAUGACGUGUCCCAAAACUUGAUGAAAAAAAAGAACUAAAAAUUCCUUACCUCUGAGAUAGAACCUCACAUCAACACACAUAGAAAUUGACAAAUCAAUCAAGACCUACGAUCAUAAAAUCCACGUUUUGAAAAUAGAAACGUUAGUCUACCAAAGAAAAAGAGGAGAAUAUAAAUUGCAGAGAACUUUGAUUAAGAACUAGAACUUUUUAAUUUAACAGAGACAUAGAACUUGAUAGUGCAUAAGAACGACACGAGGAUCUUUGGGAUGAAUCUGACUUAAGCACUUUCUCAAAAAAUUUGUUCGCCACCAUAAAGAAGUAAGAGGAAAAGAAAUCAUAUGAUAGUUAUUAGAAAUAUAAGACAAGGAGUUUUUCAUAGGAUCCAAAAGCUGUAAUCAAUAUAUUUUCUUAACCUAAUCUUCAUCUAACAGAUAAAUAUGGAAAUAUAUGCACUGAAAGAACCUCAUCGGCGAAGGUGAUAACAAGCUAAGGAUAUAUGCUUCAAGCGUUGAGUAUCGCGAGUCUAAUAUGCUAGCAAAUAGCAAUCAAAGCAGCUUUUGAUAAAUCGAUUUUUUUCAAAAACGUUGAAAUAAAUUUGAAAAUUGUGAAUCCAGAUUGUUAAUAAUCUGAAAUUUGAUGAAAUAAAAAGGAAGAAUAACGCAUCACUUACCUCAUGAUACAGUCCCAAAUCAACACAUGGAUUCGAUUAUCGGUUAGUCUCUUGAACUCCUUCAAAACAACUUUCGCACUUUCCUUUUCCUUUCUUUUUUUUCUUUUGUCGGCUCAGUUUGUUUUUCUCCCUAUUAUCCCAUAUUUAUUGUCUUUAUUUGUUAACAAUGUUUGAAUUAUAAUGGGCAUCUCAAUAAUCUACAUUUGGAGACACACAAAAAAAAAGCUUAGAGUACACUAUUUAACUAAUGAAAGCAGCUGCUAAAAGGAAAAUAUAUCAAAAUUAGAAUAAUCAUUUAUUAAAAAUUAUUUUACAAACAAAUUAGUAUUAGCAGGAUAUUGUAUUCAAAAAUUAGAAAAAUAUAAUAUAACAUAUAAAUAAAUUAUAUUUUCGCAAGAAAACUUUGAGAAAAACCUUUUCCUUUCCGUCGUGUUUUUUGUAGGGAAUGCAUUUUCAUUUGCAGCGGAAACUUGAGAACGGGUACGCUAGACGGGCCCAAACCAAGUUGGGGUCAAAGCAAUUUUUAUUUACUUAUAAGUUUAUAAGAUUUGGGGCCUAUUUAUGUAAUAGAAAAAAAUUAUUGGGGCAUAAAUUUGUGACUAAUGGGAUAAAAAAUAUUGGAGGCCCGAAACAUAUGUUUCACUAGAAUGUGCUUAAGUCCGACCCUGCGGGUACAAGACGAAACUUAAUGAGACGGGUUAAAACACAACGGAUGAAACAGAUGAAACGGAUACAAGAUGGGAUCAAACGGGUCGAGACGAAAUGAAACGGGAACUAUGCUACUUAUAUUUUUUGAAUAAUUUUAAAAAUCUAUAGCUAUACUAUUAACUUGGAAUCAUUGGAAAGAAUAUAACCUUAGUAAGUGUAGAAUAUUACAUAGAAUGUCAUUGGUAAUUUUGAAUUUGAAAAAGGAAUAAAAUUUAUAAAAAGUAUUUGUGUCUAUUUGUUGCUUAAAAACCAGUGGAUCUUAGGUUGAUCCGUUGUUAUCGGGUAAGAUAAACACAUGGUUGUUUAUAAAAAAAUUUCAAUUAAAUCAACAAAUUAUAACUACCCAAUAUUUAUGGAAAUUGUUUAAAGUAGUUUUUCAUAAAAAUCAGGCUAUUAAUGUCGAAAUUGUAUAAAUGUUAUUUAAUUUGGUGAAUCUCAAUAUCCCACGGGUUUGGGUUGUUUGCGGGCUUUUGAAAAAAUUUAUAUACUAUUUAAAUCUUAAAAUAUAUUUUAAUAUAUAUAUAUAUAUAUAAUAAUUUCAGUUUUUGUGGAAUUAUAUUUUUAUUUAUGUUUAAAAUUAUUUACUAUUUAUAUUAAUUUAUUGUUAGCUUUAAAUAUUUUAUAUAAAUUCUUAAAAUUGAUUUAUUGAAAUGCCAGUUACCUACGGGUUUUGAGAAUUCAAGCGGGACGGAUGCACAUAUUACUCCCGUGGAUUUCACGGGUCGAGUUUUACUGUGCAGACCUAUCGGGACGGGUUUGACGUACUUGAUAAUUUAAAUCAUCCGUUUUGGGAAGUUUAAUCUUUUUGGCGGUUGUUUACUGGUUUGAUAGUUCACAUUCGAUUCAAAUCCGUCGACAUAUCGAUCUAAAUUUUAUUGUGAAAUAAAUUAUUAUCUCAAAUAUUCACAAAUUGAAUAAUACCAAACCACCAUAAGUUUGAGUUAUAAUGAUAUAUCAAAUAAUUAUACCUACAAACAUAAUCCCGCACGUAGGUGCGGGUCCGGAUCUAAUCUAUAUUAUUAAUUGGGAAUCACUAGAUAUUAAAUAACCUUAUGAAAGAUACAAUAUUACAUAAGAUGCCAUUGGUUUUUAGUGUUUUUAAAUAAAUUCAUUAAGGGUACAAUAGAUAAUCACAAAUUUAAUAUAUUUAAAUAAAAUAUAGUAAAAUUAUUUUAAGUAAUUAUUAGUUUCCAAAAAAUUAAACUCACUUUCUUUCUCUUAUUAGUUAUGGACGAAAAUAUUAAAUUAAUUUCAAAAAAAUUAUUAACCAAUGAAAAUUGAAAAACUAAGAUUUGAUAUCCAACUUACAUUUUAUCUAAACCAAUCCUAAUAAAUUAUUCUAUAUCAAAAAUACAAAUAAAAAUAUCAUUUUAAUUCAAAAUUAAAACACUACCGUUUAAAAAGUUUUAUCAAUGGAGGAUUUUAAGAUUACGUGACGAGAUGGGAGAGGAAUAUAAAUUAAAAAUCAAACUAAAUACUCAACUGGUAUGAGUUCGGGUUAUGAGCACUACAUAAAAUAAAUUUGUUUACACACAUAACCCUACACAUACAUUUUCAAUUACACAUAUUCUAUUUAUGAUGGACACAGGACCAUAAUAUUUUUAUUUCAAGUAUACGAAACGGGUUAAGGGACGAAGAAUUUAUAACAGAUACAUGACGGGAUAGGUUUCCCGUUCCAAAAUAGUUACGCCUAGCUAAUAUACAUGAAAUAACUCAAACUAAAACCGAAUCCAUAUCUUAUUUAACACAUGUAAUCAAACUGUUUAAAAUGUUUUGAUUAAUUUAGAAAAUAAAAACGUAACAUCACUUAACUUUUGCAACUAAAUUAUCUUAAAUAUAAUUUCGCACGUACGUUUAGGUCUGGAUUUUAAAAUAUAACUAUGCACUAACGCAACUGAAUUUCUUUUAUUACGAAGUUCACUAACACAACAAAAUAUUUUAUACUUUUAAAUUUUAUAUAAUAAUUUCUAUAAAAAAUAUUUAUGUACAUACGUGUGGAUCCAGAUCUAAUACACUAAAAUAUAUAUCAUAAAAACAACAAAAUAAUCUAUAUUGAAUUAAAAUUUGUUAUAUAUUUUUUUUUAAAUAUGAAACCCCGCACGUACGUGCGGGUCAGGAUCUAGUUAUGAAUAAAUUGUGUUUACCGGACGUUUUUUGUUUUGUUUCAGAAACUUCAAUUUCCAUCACAAACUGGGAUUUUCAAUGAAUGUAUUUUGUCUCAAUGUUGUUCCUAGAUUAAUGACGAGAAGUUAUGACUGAUUUACGAUGGUACUCUAUCUAAUUAUGCUAUUAUAGUGACAAAACAUUAAAAUGAAUUUUACAACGACGUUAUGCUAUAUUCAACUCCAACAUCAUUCAUGGACUCGAAACAUAAGCGUGAUCACAAAACGAAUCCAUACCAACAUGAAUAGACACCAAGAAGGAACCUAUUUGUGCAAUCUCGUCAACAAAAUCAAGACUUGUCACUAAAAAACCAAUUACAAAAACUGAUUAAGCAAACCAUGAUUCAACACUUGACCUCCCAUGUAAUACCUCUCAAGAACUUCAUGAAUCAUCGUCACCAUCAUCAUCGUAACUUCACCAAGUCCAUUAAUCCUUUGUAUCAUCAAACCUAAACGUGACACAACUUCAUACUCAUGCUCACGAAACCUCAAAGCUUCUCUUCUAACUUUCUUAGCAACUCUAACAAACCCUUUACGCACAACAACCUCUCUUCUCUUCACAUUAACCAUCUCCCAAACCGAUUUCACAAUCACGUAAACCAAAUCCCAAACCAAACUCUUAUUCUUCAAAUUCACAAGCUGAAGUAUCAAACUAAACCCAGCUUCUAAACCUAAGCACCAUUCUUCUUCAUCAUAAUCUUGAUUCAUCAACAACACAUUAACAAUCUUUAAACCAAAACCAUUCUCCAACAACGGCAUCAAGAACUCUUCAUCAAGAAGCGUUGGCAAUUCACUAAACAACAACAGAGCUUUUUUAUUCCCAUCUAAUGAAAGAAUAUAAGAACAGAGCUCGUACCAUGGCUUGCUUGCAAUGAAAACAUCAACAGAGACACGAGAUACGAUUCUUGAGAGGAGUUUAAAGUCUUCAUCAGAAGUUUCUUGCGUGAGAAGGCAAGAACUUACAUGGUUCUUGAUAUCAUUCAAAGACUCUUUCUUCAAACCACCGCGUAAAUCGUCGAUAUCCAUGAGAAGUGAAUCGAGGAGAUAGACUGAAAAAGAUCGAAUCUUCGGGGUUAUAUCGGUACCGAAACUGUAGAUUUGGAGGAGUUUUGAGACUAAAAUGUUUGGGAAAUGUUUUGAGAAGGUUUCGUAGAGAAGCUUUGAAGAUUGAUCUGUUUCUUUACCGUAACAGAGGUUAGUGACGAGUUUUGUGAUUCCGGUGAUGUCACGUGUUGCGAGAAUCUCUUUUGCUUUGUUUCCGAUGUAGAUACGUGAUGCGGUUAGUGGUGGAGGAGGGUUUGAUGAAGAAGCUUCGUCGUCAUGAGGAGAUGUCAUUUUCGUGGAUUUUUUCCCGAGAAAAUGAGAGAAAAUCUUUGUUGGUGGUAGAGAGAAAGAGAUAAAUGAUAAACAGAAUAGUAACAGAGUGAUUAGACGAAUCUUUUUUAAUAUAUACGAUUUGGUUAUCUUGCUUAUUCAAUUGGAAAUGACGAACUUACCCCUAUGGAAAGAGUACAAUUCUUGCUUAUUCAUCGGAAUGACGAAAUUGCCAUCAUACAAGAGUAUUAUUCUUGCUUAUUCAUUGGAAAUGACGAAGCUGCGAGUAGAGAGAUUGAAUUUUUUAUAUUAAGGUUUGUAGAGGAAAAUAAUUUUUUUGUUUAAUACUUUUUUUUUUUCAUUUUUUUUUUUUUGCUAAUCAUGUAAAUAUAUUUAUUUUUUCAUUUUAUUAGGGACACAACUAAAAUUAAAUAUUUUUUAGUUUUUCUAUUGGUGAACUAAAACAGAAUCGAAAGUAAUAGAAAUUUUGUUGAAAAAACACAAUUAAAAUUAUGUGUGAUUUUUUUAAUAUAUUUAGACGGUUUGAUUAUGGGAUAAAAUACUUGAAUUUAUAUAUUUUGGUAAAUUUUGAGUUACUUGCAGGAUUUUUCAAAAGUUGUUUUUGUAUUCAGAUGAAUUUCCAAAAUUAGUGGUGUAAUUAUUUAGUGAUACAAUAUGUUUUGAAAUUCCGGAACUCCCACAAUUUAUCAAAAAAAGAAAAAAAAAACUCGAUUAUAUUUGAAAACAAUAUAUCUUGAAUUCCAAGUCUAAAUAUUUUGUUUAUUAAAUUAUUUCACGUCUUUCAACAAUCGUACUUUCUUUUUUUUUCUUGUAACAUGUGAUUUAUUUAUGAAGAUUGUACAUGAUUAGAAUGUAGAGUUUCGGAAAUAAAAUGAGGGGGGUAAAAAUAAGAUUGAAAAUGUUGUGAGUGAAGAGAAUUAUAUUUCGCUAGUAGAUCCGCUACGGUGUUAUUCGUUCUAGCUGUCCAUUUGAAUUGCACUUCCUCAAAUCUUCUCUGCCAUUGACAUGCUUCACGUACCCAUUCAUAACAUCCAAAAUUGAUGCUUUUGCCUUGCAUUUGUUCUAUGAUUGAUUUGGAAUCUCCUUCAAAGAUCACUUUGCGGCGUCCUUGACACCAUGCAUGUUGCAUCGCCAUAAUCAUGGCUUAGAAUUCACACUCUAAUACACUUGAAAGAACUUCUCAUGUUGCUUGUCUUGCGCCCUUGAAAGUGCCGUUUUCAUCACGGAUAAUCCAUCCUGCUUUUGAUGGUUGAUUGUUGUACGGAUGGGAACCAUCAAAAUUACAUUUCAUCCAGCCAGCUAGAGGUUGUUCCCAGUGUGUUUGCGCCGGAGGGUUUCUUUAAUGUCUUGAUUGUGAUAUGGCCGGAUUUAUACUUUGAAUAUACUCAUGUGAUGUUAACCACUCAUAUGUCUUUCUUGGAACACGUUUCUACUUUUCCAGAGUCCCAAAGAAUCCAAAUCGUAAUCUGGUGUGCUUGAUGAUUGUUUCUGAUGAUGGUGUUUGAGAGAAUUGCCUCCAUUUUUGAAUCCAGCGUCGUACUUUCAUUUUCUCUUUUCUCUUCCUCUUGUAACAUAUAAUUUUUAUUGAAUUAAUUGAUAAGAAAUGGAGCAUAUAUAUUUUCUAUCGGGUAAUAAAGUAAUAUUACCUCCGAUUGGUUGAGGCAGUAGAUUUAGUUAUGUAUGAUUGGUUGUGGCGGUAAGAUUCUGGAUGUGAUUUCUUAUAAUAAAAAUCUAAUUGGUAAAUGAUUGUUAUAUGUUGUAAAUUAAUAUUUUAUCAUCUAUAUUACGAAUUAUAUAUGUAGACUUUUCCACUAUCAUGUAAAAUAAAAACAAGAAUACAAAAAUAUAAGUCAAAUCUUUAAUGUUAUUUACUUUUUAUUUUUGAGUAUUUUAAACAAAUUAAUAAAUGAAAUUUGUAAUGUACAUAAAAUUUGUAAUUUUACAAACAUAAAUGUAAAUAAAAUUUAUAAUGUAUUCAAUAAUUUAUAUGUCAUAUUGUUCAUAUCAAAAUGAAAUUUAUAUUCAUAAUAGAUAUGUAUAUAUAUUAUCAGUAAUACAUAUAUAUAUAUAUAUAUAUAUAUAUAUCUAUAUAUAUAUAUAUUAUGCUAUGUUAUAGUGGAGGGUGUAUUUAUAUAUCAUAUGUAUUAGAAAUAUUGUAUAUUAUAUUUUUUUCUAUAAAAGGGAAAUAUAAUUUCCUUUCUACAGCCAUAAAAUCUUUUACAUAAAAUUGUUUUUGUGAGAGACUCUGAUUGCACAUGCUCUAAAAUUUGCUGUGAAAGUUGUAUGUUUCAAAAAUGAAAUCAAAGCUUGAUUGAUUCGGCGUUAGUGCUAUAGAGAGAAAUGAUGAAGCUUGUGUAGCUCAUACCAAUCAUCUUCAUUAUAUACGUUUUGUUGCAAAGUUUCCCUUACGAAGAGGCAGUUCUUUUUUUUGAUCUUAUACAAAAAUUUUAUAAUAGUAUAACACAUCUACUCAUCUAGUAUCAAAUUUGUAGUUACUUAGUGACUCUUAGAACUUUUAUAAUAUACAUUUCUUUCCCCCCAUCAUCUUUGCAUUUCCCUCUUUUACCUCUCAUCUCUUGCAUCUUUUAUUUUUUUGUUUCUAAAUAUAACAUAUAUAAAAGUUUCAUUUACUUAAAACUUACAUUCUAUUGAUCAAACACAUUUUUAUAUUUGUAAAAAAAUUGGUUAACUACUUUAUACUAAAUGAAAAUUUUAUGAAAUUAAAUGUCAGUAAAAAAAAUUAUUUAAACAAUCUAAACUAAGCUUAGUAAAUAUUGCUGUCAAAAAAAAAAAAAAAAAAAGCUUAGUAAAUAUUUUGAUGUAUGAAAGUUUUUGCAUCUAAUUUGAAAAAUUAAAAUAUUUGUAACACCUAAACUUUCUUGAAAACACCAACACAAAUUUCUAUGAUAUUUCAAUGUAGUUUCUUCCAUAUCUAAACUCAAUGAUUUAAAAUAAUAUUAACAUAUUUAGCUUAAGAAUAGAAUGAAGGUGUGAUGAUAUCUUGUGGUUUUCAUCGAUUUUGAUUGUGUUUUUCUUCCUCUUUCAUGCAUAUCAAUACAUCGAAGUUGGUGAUGAAAAUAGAAACCAAAGUUUUAGGUCGCUACUGAAAAUCUGUCGAGACCUAUCCAUUUUGUUUUUAUUUGAUUACAAACGCAUGUGGACAAUGAAAACAACAGUGAAUAUGAAUGGUCAAUAUACCAUUUGAACGACAUCUCGUGCCUAAUGUAUCAGAACAGUUAAUACCACAAACUCGUGUCUUUGUCAAAGACUGUUUUGCAUGGCUUUCAAUUUUAAAAAUUUAAACAAAAAUAGCUAGCCGAACUCUUAAAAAUAUAUAAUCGCAUUUUCUUGUUUGGCAGCAAAUAUAUCAUCUACUACUUUUACAAUAUAUAGCUUCCAUUCCUCUUAAAGAUGGUUCGUCUAAUAUCAUGUUUUUGUUAUAAACUCAAAAAGAAAGUGAGAUUGUGACUUGUGUGAGAACUUUAGUUUUUUUCUAUGACAGCUUCCAAAACUUUAGGCAUUGCCAGCAUGCAAUCCAUAAUUGGUUAUUGUACGAAUAUUAAAUUUUGUUAUCCAUCCCUCUCAGUCAUAUGUUUUGAGGCCUCACAAUUUUCUAUAUAUGAUAUGAAUUUGCAAAUCCUUCUUAUUCCCACACAUACAAUAUGGAUAAUCUAGCGUUAUGUGAAGCAAACAACGUUCCUCUAACGCCCAUAACGUUCUUGAAGAGAGCUUCCGAGUGUUAUCCCAAUCGAACUUCCAUAAUCUAUGGAAAAACUCGGUUCACUUGGCCUCAAACCUAUGACCGUUGCUGUCGUCUCGCAGCUUCUCUCCUCUCUCUUAACAUCACUCGAAACGACGUCGUAAGAAUUUUCCAUUUGCCUUCUCAUACCUAUAUGUGACUAAUCAUUAUAUGCCUUUCCCUUAAUUCAUUCUCACGAUAUAAUGGUGUCAUGACUCAUGAUCUACAUAUGAACCACAUAACUUCUCUUUUUUCUUGUUUUAGUUUUAUAUUUAGUGAUGCCUAUCAUAUCUUGUACUAUCCUUACUUCUUUAGGAUGGUAAUUUUUACCGAAUUGAUUUAUUCAUCUUAUAUAUGUGAUAAAUCUGUGUAUAGGUCUCGAUUUUGGCCCCAAACGUACCUGCCAUAUACGAGAUGCAUUUUAGCGUUCCCAUGACCGGAGCUGUACUUAACCCUAUUAACACCCGUCUUGACGCCAAAACCAUAGCCAUCAUCCUCCGCCACGCCGAGCCAAAGAUCUUAUUUGUGGACCAUGAGUUUGCUCCUUUGAUCCAAGAAGUCCUCAGUCUCCUACCCACUGACGAGUCACAACCUCAUCCGCGGAUCAUAUUCAUUAACGAGAUUGAUUCCACUACAAAUCCUUUUUCCAAGGAUUUGGACUACGAGGGUCUCAUCCGAAAAGGAGAACCUACGCCCUCCUUGUACGCAAGUAUGUUCCUUGUCCACAACGAGCAUGACCCUAUCUCAUUGAACUACACGUCCGGUACCACUGCCGACCCAAAAGGUGUGGUGGUUAGCCACCGAGGAGCCUACUUGAGCGCUUUGAGCUUGAUUAUUGGCUGGCAAAUGGGGAUUUUCCCGGUCUACCUCUGGACACUGCCUAUAUUUCAUUGCAAUGGAUGGACGCUCCCCUGGUCUGUCGCUGCACGUGGCGGUACUAAUGUAUGCAUCAGACAUGUGACUGCCCCAGAGAUCUAUAAGAACAUAGAAUUGCAUGGCGUGACACAUAUGUCCUGUGUUCCUACGGUCUUUAGGUUUCUCCUUGAAGGAGAUCGAACCAACCAGUCACACAAGUCCCCACCGGUUCAGGUGUUGACCGGAGGUUCUUCGCCCCCGGCUGUCCUUAUAAAGAAAGUUGAGCAGCUAGGGUUUCAAGUGAUGCAUGGCUAUGGGCUUACAGAGGCCACCGGCCCGGUUCUCUUUUGUGAAUGGCAAGACGAGUGGAACAAGUAUUUUAACCAUCAUGAUUUUACAUAAUAUACUACAAUCUUUUAUAUACAUAAUCAUCUUGAAAAUAACAAAGUUUAUUAUGACAAUCCUAAAUAGACUACCAGAGCAUCAACAAAUGCAACUACAACAAAGGCAAGGUGUAAGGCACCUAACCCUAGCUGACGUUGACGUGAAAAACACCAAAACUCUAGAGAGUGUCCCGCGCGACGGUAAGACAAUGGGAGAAAUUGUCAUUAAAGGAAGCAUUCUUAUGAAAGGGUAUCUAAAGAACCCUAAAGCAACAUCUGAAGCCUUUAAACACGGAUGGCUCAACACGGGAGACAUAGGUGUGAUUCAUCCUGAUGGAUAUGUAGAGAUCAAAGAUAGAUCCAAAGACAUCAUCAUCUCGGGAGGUGAGAACAUCAGCAGUAUUGAGGUCGAGAAAGUUCUUUACAUGCAUCAACAAGUGCUCGAGGCCGCGGUUGUGGCCAUGCCUCACCCUCUGUGGGGUGAAACCCCGUGUGCGUUUGUUGUUCUAAAGAACGGUGAAGAGGAAUUGGUGACCAAUGAAGGAGAUCUCAUUAAGUAUUGCCGUGAGAAUAUGCCACAUUUUAUGUGUCCGAGGAAAGUGGUGUUCUUUCAAGAGCUUCCAAAGAAUAGUAAUGGAAAGAUCCCCAAGUCUAAGUUGCGAGACGUCGCUAAGGCCUUAGUGGUCAAGGAGGACGAUGUCGGUUUCAAGAAAGUUCAUCAACGCAGUGUCGAACACGUUAGUUCGAGGCUUUAACGUUACAUUCAUCGAUGUGUUUAUGUAUAUGCGUGUGUAUUUGGAUCGAUUGAUAUGCGGUAGUCGGGUGGUGGAUCACCGUAUAACACUUAACUGUAUAUGAGGGAUAUAUACGGUGAAUAUAUUUUUAUAAAAAUAUAUGUCUAUAUAUAUAUUAUAAAUAUAUAUAAUAUCAUAAAAAAAUAAUUGUAAAAAAAAAUAAAAGAAGUCUCAUGUUAAACUCCAACUCUAAAAAAAAUGAAAACAUAAUGACAACCAUAUUUAGAUAAGCAGCACCGUAUAAGUGGCCGUAUUGAGCCGUAUAAUGCCGUAUAAUGACCAUAUUGAGCAGUAUAACGCCGUAUAAUGGCCGAAUUGAGCUGUAUAGCGCCGUGUAAGUGGCCGUAUUAAAUCUAACCGUAUUUGUUAAACGCAUAGCUUAAAAACAGUACAUUAGUCUGCCGUAUAGCGUAUAACUACCGUAUAUACGGCCGCCUAAGGCUUAUUUUAGAACACUAUUAUGUUUUUUAGUUUGCAUGUAUAGAUUUUUAAAUUUACGCUAAUAAAAUCAAGUUAUUUAAAUCUUUAUUAUAGUUCAACAAAUAUUGUAUCUUUUAUUUAAUAAAAAUGGUAAAAAAAAGAGAAAAAAUUGCCACGUGGAUUCAACAAAUAAAAUUGAAGAAGAUAAUCUCAAAAUUUUUAAGGCUCAGGAUUCGCCACUUGGAAAAAUUUCAUAUCUCAUCACUUCCAUUAGAACACAGCUCCUAAAGAUGAAGAAGUAAACAGAUUUGCCACAAUAUCAAAAAAAAAAAAACACACCACAAUGAGUGACACUAAAACGGUGCGUUUUGGUAUUCUUGGAUGCAUCAGAUUCGCAUCAAAGUUCGUCAGAACAGUAACACAAUCCUCAAACGCCGUCAUUAUCGCCAUCAGCGAUCCAUCACUCGAAACAGCAAAAACCUUCGCCGCCACCAACAAUUUAUCGCCGGAAACCGUCAAAAUAUACGGAAGCUACGAAGAACUACUAAACGAUGAAAACGUUGACGCCGUUUACUUGACGAUGCCGGUGACACAACGAGGGAAAUGGGCGGUGACGGCGGCGGAGAAGAAGAAGCAUGUUCUUGUUGAGAAACCACCGGCUCAAGACUCGACGGAGCUGGAGAAGAUUGUGGAGGCGUGUGAAUCUAACGGUGUUCAGUUUAUGGACGGUACGAUUUGGUUGCAUCAUCAACGGACGGUUAAGAUUAGAGAUACGAUGUUUGAUUCUGGAUUGCUUGGAGAUGUUCGCCACGUAAGCGCUUUGCUUUUUUUAUUCAAAUUGCAAAUUGGUCCAUAUAAUCUUUUUACUUUCUUUAUUGCCCCACAUAUAAGUUAGAACGACUAAUAUAACCUUUCAAUUGUACUAGAACUAGAUUAUGACCCUCAAAUGUGGGAUUAGAUACCAAGUUAUAGAGUAAAACCUCUCUACGUUAAUGCUCGAUGGACUAAUAAAUACGAUAAAAUAAAAAUUUAUCAGUUUCGAGUUAUGUUAGGCUACAAAAUUAACCAAAUUCGAGAAAAUUAGUGACGAAACCUAUCGUUAUCAUAUUCGAAACAACAUCUAAGUGAUGUUACAUCUUACACGUUGAAUCAUGUUGGUGUUAUGAUAAUCAUAUAUCAAUCUUCUUUUUCAUGUCCAAAAAAAUCCAUAAUACUGAUGAAAUCAGAUUUUUUAAGUAUCCGAUUUUCUUAAUUAUGCAUACGACAUAAGUUUCAAAUUAUUGAAACCAUAUAUUACAAAUGGUUGUUUUAAGUUGAAUGGAUUGAAUAUAAUAAGUUGGAAAAUAAUAAGUUGAAAAUCAUUCAAUCCAUUCAUCUCCAAAAUUGUAGUUGAAUGAGUUGAACAUUUUUGCUGUAGAAUUUGUUCAAUUUUUCAGGUUUUUAAGUUGAAUGGGUUGAAUCUAUUUUUCAACUUUUUCAUCUCAAAUGGUGAAAAAUUAGUUUAAUGUUCAUUCAACUCUUUCAGUUUGGUAUUUUUUGUCAACCAUUUGCAGCCUUCGUGUAGGUUACAUUAAUCUAUUUCAUGAGUUUAUGUUUUAGGAUUGAGUCUAAUCUAUGAUUUUUUCACUAAAGUAUCAAACAUUCUUUGACACAUGCGUUGCAGAUGUAUAGCACGAUGACUACUCCGGUACCGGAGCAAGUGUUGGAAAGACUGACUAAAGAAGCUAUGGGUUUAGCCGGAGCUAUAGGAGAGCUUGGCUGGUACCCUAUAGGUGCAGCUUUAUGGGCUAUGUCUUACCAAAUGCCGAUAUCGGUCAGGGCUCUUCCCUCCUCUGUCUCCACAAACUCGGUUGGCACUAUCUUGUCCUGCACUGCCUCUCUUCAGUUCGGUUCAACCGCAACCGCAAUCGUCCAUUGCUCUUUCCUCUCUCAACUUUCAACCGACUUAGCUAUCUCAGGUUCUUUCAAUUGUCUUUAUUGUACAAUAAGUUGAAAUAGAAAUAGUAAUAGUCUAGGGGAAUAUAAUCAAGCCGAGCCGAAUCGAACCGAAUUCCAAAAUCCAAUUCAAAAAAUUAGUUAUUUGGUUAAAAUGGUUCCUCUUAUUCUUUUAAAUGUCCAAAAAUCAUAUAAAACAAUCUAUAGAAGAUUUAGUGCUACAUUAUUUAAAUUUCCUAAGACAUGAAAUCCCAAAACAUUAGUAAAAACUUAUGUCUAUGUAAAAUAUAAGUGAUAUUUUGUAUUAACACCAAAUAUCAAAAUGAAUGUUCAGGAUCAAAAGGGUCGAUUCAAAUGAAUGACUAUGUGAUACCCUACAAGGAGGACACAGCUUGGUUCGAAUACACAUGUGGUGCGAAGUUUGUGGACAUGCACAUUGGUUGGAAUGUGACACCGGAGAAAGUUACAGUGGAUUGUGGCGGAACUGCGGAGACGCAAGAGGCAAUGAUGCUAAGAGAGUUCACGCUGCUUGUCGAAGGAAUCAAGCGGGGCGAUUUAGAGGCUGAUCGUAGGUGGGCCGAGAUUAGUAAGAAGACGCAGUUGGUCGUUGAUGCUGUGAAGAAAUCUGUUGAUAUUAAUUGUGAAGUGGUUCAUUUGUAAAACUUGUUGAUAUUUUCUGCUAAUUAGAUUAUGAUAUUUAUAUUAGUGUCAUUGAUACGUUUACAUGUUCUGGUUACUAACUUUUAUAAGUCGAAGAUGAUAUGUACUUCCAUAACUUUUAUUUGGUACUCCUCCAUAUACUCAAAUCUGAGAUAUGUUAGGUCAGUAGAAGUAGGUGGAUCGUUUAAGUUUAGUUCUAAAUCUCGAUACAAUAAAGAAGCUCCAUAAUUCGAUAAAGUUAUAUAAAACUAGAAAAUAUAAGAAUACUUUGUCUUAUAAAAAUAAUAAAAUUAAAAAAUUUAACAUGAGUCGAAAUUCUAAUAGAUAAGACUUACACAUGUCUCAAUUUUGUUCAUUAUAUUGUUUCCAAAAUUUUGCAAAUUUAUUUCUUUUUAUCUUGACCAGAAUGCAUAUAUUAUUUGUACAUUAUAAGGAAUGCAUUAAAUUGUGGAUUUCUUUCUAUUUAUUUAUAUCAAAAGUUAUAUUCAAAAAAAAAAAUAUUAAUUAUUUUAAUGAAAAUUCAAAAAAAAAAAAAAAACUAAUUAGGGUUUCAUUUUAAUAACAAACGCCACCCACAUAUUUUUGUUGUCUAUAUAUACUUCUUAUCUCUUCGUAAAACAACAUACGACACACAUAACCUCAUCAUCUCUCUCACAUAUUCACAUCCUUGUCUUAUCUCUCUUAGUGUACGUCUCAAAAUAAGUACUAGUCUCUUCUCACUCUUUCUAAACUUUUCCAUUUCAUCAUCUAUCCAAGUCACGAAUGCAUCACUAUCAUCGUAUCCACAUAUAUUCGCUCGACCGGAUUCGGAUCAGUAAACUCCGAAAUGAUGUGUUGGUCAUGAAUUCAUGAUCCUAACGAGAUGUUUUGUCCAAACGAUGAUAUUAUUGUUACAUAGUAUGUCUUAUUCACAUAGUUAUGCAAGUACCUUUUUUUUUUUUUGAUGAAUUUCAAUCUUUUGCCUUAUUCACAUAGUUACAUGAUAUUAUUGAUAUAUAGUAUGUCUUACAUAUGUUAGUUUCAUUAAUGUAUUUUUUGCAGAUACCUUUUUCUCUUCUUCCAUAUGCGAAAAGCUAUCAUAACCAACAUGGGAUCUCUUCCGCUCAUUCUAAUCGCAUUGCGCAAUCGAUAUCCAAGGUUUCUCUCUAUUUUUUUCAGUAUUUUUUCAAUAAAUUAUCAGAAACUUUUUGGAUCUACACCAUGUCCCUUUAAACUUAAAACUGAUGAUUGAAUUGGUGAUUGCAUUACAUUUUGAUUCUUAGAAAAUUUUAAACACGGACCAACUUAAACGCAUAAACACUAUUUGUAUGUAUCAUAAAAUAUGAAAACCUUGUAUAUCUCGAGGCAAACAAAAAUGUAAGACGAUCCAUGCUGUAAAAGACAACAAAAAAUUAAUGGACUUUAUAAACCUUUUUUUUAUGAUAUUUAUAAUUUAGGAUUUUUUUUUGGGGAUAUCCGGAUCUUAAAACACCUAGUAGAAUCCGGAUCCUCCAAUAUCAAUAUAAUUAUUUUGUGAUAUUUUUUUAUAAAAUUUAAUCCGAAUCGGAUAUAGGUAUUAUGAAAUUUAAGACACAAUACCUAGAUUCAGAUCUAGGAGCUCUAGAUACUCUAUUUUUUGGUUAGGUAUUUAUAUGGGUUUAUCUUAAAUUUCAACGGAAAGUUCUAUCUACAAAAAUGUUAAUUCAUCUUUAUGGUUAGGUAUUUAUAUGGGUUUAUCUUAAAUUUCGACCAUAGUAAAAAAUAGUCAUAAUGGUAUUUCGCACAAAAAAUUAUGAUUUUUGAAAUUUUUUGGAUCAACAUAUGUAAAGGUAGAUUGUGAAUGCAUUAUUAUAAUAGUUAAUUAAAAUCUUUUUUAAAAAGAACAAUCUCUUGCCUUAUUCACAUAGUUACAUGAUCUUGUUAUAUAUAUAAGUAUCAUACCUUACAUAUGUUGGUUUCAUUCAUGUAUUUGUUUCGAUUCCUGAUAAGGUAUUUUUGUUUUUUGGAUAUUUCAUUUAAGUUGAUAAGUUACACUAGAGUACUUUUGCAGUUUCUACGUUAGAUAAUAACUAAUUCUAUGGUUUUUAUAUCUCAAUAUGCUAAUGGAUAUUUAGUUGUAUGAAACAUGCAACAAUUUAUUCAUAGAUCCAAACAUCCAUAGGAUACAUAUAAUAACCGAGAAUUAUAUGAUAAGAAUAUUUAAAUGUAACCAUUUUGAAAUGAGAAAAUUACCUCAAGCUAUAGUACCUCUAUGAGAUCUAUUUGUAGGUUACAAAUUAAGAAAAAUAGAAAAGAAAUUUUGUAAACUACUCAAUUACAGAUGGCGAAUAUUCCAUUUUGAUCAUGAGCCAGCCUCUAGUUUUGGUUUAGCUCGGCUAACGGAGAGAUGUUCUCCGGUGCAAAAAGCAUGAAACAGGAAACAUCAAAUUCUUGUGGUCAUAUAAUAUAACCAACUCAUAUUUUAUGCUUAACUAUAUAAUGAGGUUAUAUUAUAUAACUAUAAUAAUUUGAUGUUCCCUCGUCUCAUAUUUUUUACGUUAAAGAACAUCUCUCUACUAGUUGAACUAAGCAUGGACGACUAUGGGUUGGCAGAUGAACUAAAUGGAAAAUUCGAGAUAUGUAACUAAGUAAUUAUGAAGUUUCCUUUUUAUCUUUUUUUGUAGCUUACAUUGAUAGCUCAUAGGUGCUAUAUGUUGAUGUAAUUUCUCAUCUCGAUAUUGUCACACUUUGACUUUCUUAUUAUUCAGAAAGUGAGUGAACGAGAAGAGCAGUCGAAGAUGGCUUCAUGUUCAUGUUAUCAUAUGAUCAUAUGAAAGUGCAGAUUGAUAUUAGCGAUGAAGAUGGCUAUACUCAGAUCUGAGAUAUCUUAGUUUUUUGAAUUAUAUAGUCUCUUGGUUUCUUGAAGUUGUAUAUUAUAAUUUUAUGACAUGUAAAGAUUAAAAGAAUACAUUUUUUACCAAGUUCCCUUUGCUAAUCUGUUCUCAAAGUUAGUAUGUGAUGUCUUCGGGAAAUUAUUUAUGAAUAGUUUUUAAAUUACUCAAUUAUGAACUAAAAUAAAUUUAUUUGUUCUAUUGAAUUUAAUUAGAAUAGAUCUAUAAGGAAAUACAUUUUACAUUUAAAAUGAGUAACACAAGUUAAACAAAGAUAAAAUGAGUAACAUAUAUUUUUGUAUAACAAAAAAGAUAAAACCUUUGAAAAUUAAUACAAUAUAGAAACUAAAGUUACAUAUAAGAUAUAAAGAGUAAAUAUGUAAACUUGGUACUAGAGCAAGUAUUGGAAAGACUGACGAAAGAAGCAAUGGGUGGUAGGUUGGUAGCCUAUAGGUGCAGCUCUAUAUUAGAAUAUGGGCUUCCAACUCAAAACCAAUUGGCAAUAAGUGGAGAGGCCCAUAUAUCUUAUAUAUUAGUCAAGAUCCCUUGUCCUUUCCAAUGUGGGAUAAUAUUAUCCUUAAUACGCCCCCUCGAGAUGAUGGCUCUAGCCAUUGAUCUCGGUAUGCUCGGGCAUGAAUCGGCGGGCCAACUAUUGGGCCGGGCCGAUGGUGGAUUGGAUUUGGACAUGUACGGAUCGGGCUCUGAUACCAUAUUAGAAUAUGGGCUUCCAACUCAAAACCAAUUGGCAAUGAGUGGAGUGGCCCAUAUCCCUUAUAUAUUACUUAGGAUCUCUUCCAACUUCCGAUGUGGGACAUUAUGUCCUAAUACGCCCCUUCGAGAUGAUGGCUCUUUGGCCAUUAAUCUCGAAAUGUUCGGGCUUAGAUCGACGACAUCAAUUUUGGGCCUUGUCGAUGAUUGGACCACCUUUGGGUCGGAUCGAGUUGGACAUGUGUGGAUCGUUUUGAGUUGGAAGCCCAUAUUCUAAUACUCUAUGGGCUAUGUCUUACCAAAUGUUGAUAUCUAUUAGAGCUCUUCCCUCCUAUGUCUCCACAAACUUGGUUGGGGCCAUCUUGUCCGACACUGCCUCCCUUCAGUUCUGUUCAACCGCAACCGCAUUGCCAAUCUAUCGUUCAUUGCUCUUUCCUUUAUCAACUUUCGACUGAUUUAGAUAUCUCAGGUUCUUACCAUUAUCUUUAUAGGGCUGGCUAAAAAUAGCAAAAAAAACUGUGGUUCAUGUUUAAUUUUUGAAAUAUGGACCCUAAUUAAUUACAUGUAAAAAAAUUUGGACCUUUAAAUACAUUAAUAAAUACGGUAAUUUAAUAAAGUCCGAGUGCAAAUGCUAUGUCUUAGCAAAUGUCGUAUAUAUAUAUGCAUGUGUGAGGAGUGCAUUUCCACUCGGACUUUGUUAAAUUACCUUAAAAAAUAAUGUGUAAAGGUCCAAAACAAUUUUUGAAUUUUUAUACAUGUAAUUAGGGUCCCUAUUUCAAAAAUUAAGCAUAGGCCAUAGGUUUUUCUUUUGCUAUUUUUUCUAUAUAGCUAUCUCAUCAGGUUCUUACCAUUAUCUUUACUAUAGCAUAAGUUGAAAUAGUAAUAGUCUAUGGGAACAUAAUCAAGGUGGCCGGAGAUUAGUAAGAAGACGCAGUUGGUCGUUGAUGCUGUGAAGUGGUCCAUCUGUAAAACUUGUUGAGAUCUUUAGCUAAUUAGAUU
rnacentral:lncRNA from 1 species